UCGACUCGUUGGGAUUGCAGAUAUGGCCACGGAGAAAUGUAGUGGUCCGUGCUGGUCUGUACUGGCCUUUCUAACCCCGGUUUGACCUAAUUGACACUACUUGUAUAAUCAAGUGAAUAUAACUGUGAGUUGCUUUCACUUUCAGUUCUACUGCUUGGAGCACGAGUGGCAGCUUCUGCUGCAGUAAUAUCGCCUGCCAGUGAGAAGAAAGCAUGGCUUGUCUUAGCUUGGGUGAGCACGGUUGCAGGGAAUCUCUCUCUUUUGGGAUCAGCUGCCAACUUAAUAGUGUGUGAACAGGCCCGUCAAGCUCACCAUGGCUACAAUUUAAAAUUUUGGAGUCACCUCAAAUUUGGAGUUCCCUCUACUAUUAUUGUAACAGCUAUUGGUUUGACUUUGAUAAGAGCAUGACACCUUGUGAUCAAUCUGAGGUUCUCUAGUAAAUUCAAUUAUGCUGAUACAAGGAUUCUGAUGAACAAGAAUAAUUUAGAUUUUUCGCAAAAUCAUUUAAAACUGAGAAACUACAUGUUAUCUUCUUUAGAUUAUGAUUCAACAACGAGUUUGAGCUGGUGAUCGAUUUGGGCAUGGGCUGAAUUGGAUUUAACUUUUUAAGUGGAAUUAGUUCGUUCUUCAUCUAUUGUGGGAAUCAAAUCCAAAUUGGACCAAUAUCGAUUGGCAUUAAGAGAACCUUAAUGAACCAAACUUGAAUUCCACAGCUAUAGGAUGCACUACAAACGAUUAAAUCAACACGAAGAUGAAUCAGUGCUAUAAACGUGGAUUUAAUCUGUAGUGUACAUAGCAUAUACAUGAUUUACAUUUCUUGAAAUACAUGCAUCUAUCUAUAACAUAAAAACAGAAUUAGUUCUAUAUAUCUUACUGUAUUUCCUCACAUUGAAAUAUGUUGAAAUGAAGCAAUUUUAUAUAUAGCCUUUUUUUGUUUCCCAUUAUCUAGCCAUUAAAAUGAAAAAUAUGACCGUUAUCUAUCAUAUCAAGCUACCAUUUUUGAAUUUUUAUUUCUUGUAUGGCGUCCGUAACGGCUAUAUUUUUCAUUCUCGUUCUUACAUUAAUAAAAAACAAACGGGGCCAUAUAUAUAUAGUAGUUAAAACACACGAGUAAAAUUCCAAAAAUAAGUUCCAGAAUUUCAGACUAUAAAUAUAAUUCUACAUGAUCAUGAUUCCAUAGCAUUACUUCAAUAAAGAAGAGAGCUCAAAUUUAAGUUUUUUUGUUCCUUAGGGGUUGCAUUAGUAAAGCUCAAAAUUUCCCAAUCGAACAAUAAACUACAUUCAGCAGAUUAAACCUUAAAGAAGACAAAGCAGGGAAAAGCUGAAUUAGUACAGUGAAAAUAAGCUGAAUAUCUAGUCCCCUUCCUUCCAUUGCACGUUUGAGUAGAUUAGAUGACACUAGAUGAUGUUCAUAAUACUCUUCGUUGUGAUCUAAUACUGAAUAGCAAUCGCACAUUUACUAUCUUCCAUUUUGAAGUGAAAGUUGGUAGAUCAUAUCAGGGGAAUGGCAGUUUUAGCUGCUGUCAUAAUUGUGCUCUCAAAUUUGGCAUCAAAUGUACCUACAGGUAUGUCGAAUGUACCUGACUUUGAAUAUGAGAUAAUAAUUUGUCGUCACUUGACCGAAUGAGAAGAAAAGGAGACAGCCGAUUCAAUUUUAUGUCGAACACUCAAACAUGAAAAUCUUCUAGGAUAGAUUACAUGUUUAAAUGAUUCAAGUGACAUUGGACCAAGCGUAUUGCCAAGUGGGAAAAUAUGUUAGCCCGUUGCUACUCGAGGUAAGUUAAUGUAAAAGAUUUUCAUAUUUGGAAGCUGUAAUUAAAAGCUUACUUUCCCCAGUUUUAAUGAUGGCGUUAUAGUUUCACGAUAUGAUUCCAACAUGAUAAUAACUCUUGUAAAGAUAAUUUUCACAAUCAAUAAUGAAAUCAAGAAAUGCAGACUAAUGAAGUUCAAGGGGAAGCAGAGCAAUGAUAUAUAUAUUUUGCUGCAUUGCAGCAUUGAUCUCUCGAAAGCAGAUAAAGCCAUGACACAAGGCCUUAACGUCGUGUACAUAUUUAGUCUCAAAAGACUGGACAAUAUAAUGAAUAAGAUUUAGACUUUUUUUCUUUUUUCAAAAUUAUCCAGUCCCGUGUAGUACUCCAUGUUAAACAUAUAGUAAUGGCUAGAUGGUUAAGGAUAAAGAACAACCUCCUUGUUCCAGUUAGUUUUGUAAAGAACUAACAAGAGUAGCAAUGUCUGCAAAGCUGUUCCGGCUAUCAUGCCACCCCAAAGUCCCUACAAUAGUAAAAUUAUAAGCAUAUGAAAAUUAAAAUAAUUUGACUUUGAGUAAUAUUAAAGCAUAUAAAGGAAAUUUAACUAUAAGCAUUAACAACUAGACGGGUCUUAAGAAAAACGAUAGGUAACAAAUUAUCUUUACGACUUUCAGUUAAAUCAACAGAAAGAAUUUAAUUGUGAAUAUAUUAAAAAAAUAAAAAUUGUCCUGUACAAUCUUAAUAAUUCAUGCCAAACUUGCAUUGGCAGUAUAUUAAUGAGAUUAGGCAUCAUAUUCUGACAAGGCUAUUAAUGCUUCUUCUUCGUUUUUUUUGCCUAAAUCAUCCAGGUAUCCUAUUUGCUCUUGAUAUUCUUUUGCGGAAUGUUUAUUACAGUCGAUGGCUUCAACAAAACCGGAAUUCCAAGCAACCUGUGGGAUUUCAUGGAGCCUUAUGCAAAAAUAGAUCAUAUCAGGGGAAUGGCAGUUUUAGCUGCUGUCAUAAUUGUGCUCUCAAAUUUGGCAUCAAAUGUACCUACAGGUAUGUCGAAUGUACCUGACUUUGAAUAUGAGAUAAUAAUUUGUCGUCACUUGACCGAAUGAGAAGAAAAGGAGACAGCGGAUUCAAUUUUUUGUCGAACACUCAAACAUGAAAAUCUUCUAGGAUAGAUUACAUGUUUAAAUGAUUCAAGUGACAUUGGACCAAGCGUGGGAAAAUAUGUUAGCCCGUUGCUACUCGAGGUAAAUUAAUGUAAAAGAUUUUCAUAUUUGGAAGCUGUAAUUAAAAGCUUACUUUCCCCAGUUUUAAUGAUGGCGUAGCCUUCCCUAGGAUUAGAAACCACGCAAGGCAGGCAAUGCCAUGCACCCCUUCCGUAGGCUAAGAACAAUUGAUUAGAUUGGACAUACGUUACAAAGUAGGAAAUUGGAAAGAUUAACACUUCAAAGCAUAAGGCUAUCUCCCAACAUUUGCUCCCUGUGACGUAAAUGAAGCGAGUCCAUAAGGAAUUCAUAGUAGAAAGGGGCGCGCUUUAGUUGCACAAGGGAAUUCAAAUCGGAAGUUGAUCCCAAAAUAUUUCUCAUAAUCACAUACUACUCCAAUCGAAUCUGUUUGUACAUUACAAAAGCCACAAUUAAAAAUACUAAAUACUUCAUGUCACGGCAUUCAUUUCUUCAAUCUUAAUGAAAUAUGCUACUUGGAAACUUGCAGAAGCAAUAUAUGUACCCUGUAUAUAGUGGUGUAAAAGUGAGGCCAGGCUUUGCAUUGUGGCUAGCAGGUUCCCCACAGGUCAAAUAAAUAUAUAAAUAAAUUCAAAACAAUCAUAAGGCUCGACUCGUUGGGAUUGCAGAUAUGGCCACGGAGAAAUGUAGUGGUCCGUGCUGGUCUGUACUGGCCUUUCUAACCCCGGUUUGACCUAAUUGACACUACUUGUAUAAUCAAGUGAAUAUAACUGUGAGUUGCUUUCACUUUCAGUUCUACUGCUUGGAGCACGAGUGGCAGCUUCUGCUGCAGUAAUAUCGCCUGCCAGUGAGAAGAAAGCAUGGCUUGUCUUAGCUUGGGUGAGCACGGUUGCAGGGAAUCUCUCUCUUUUGGGAUCAGCUGCCAACUUAAUAGUGUGUGAACAGGCCCGUCAAGCUCACCAUGGCUACAAUUUAAAAUUUUGGAGUCACCUCAAAUUUGGAGUUCCCUACAACAUCAGAGGAAACGAAACAAGAUAAACAGGACUCAAGAAUAUAAACAUAUUGUCUCCAGCUGUCAAAUCUCAAGUUUAUAGGGAAUGAGGCUUAGUUCUUCUUGUUUUGUACGUUAUUUUCACCAUUCACGUCUCUAUCUGUUAUCUCAAAAUUCAACAUACUUGGACAGAGGAAAAAAAUAUAAAUUAUCUAUAAGAUGUGAGUCCUUUUACCUUAUAGCAGCAUUGAUUCCAAUGAAAAUCAUGGCUUCCCACCCAUUGACGUUCAUGCUGAAAGAUAAACCAUCAAAAAUUUGUGAAAAUUUUUAAGACAACUAGAAAACUCAUGUUCAUAACAUAGAGAUCAAAAAAUGAUUGUUGCUCAUGACAAGCUCAAGUUUGCAUAUUUAGUCUGAUCUGUUCGUUUAGCAUUCUUCUUCAUUUAACGAUUCAUGGUGUUUUGAUCACUUUAGAAAGCUGACAACUAGACGUGUGCUUCCUCGGACAUGCAAUGCAUCAAGGUUGAUGAACAAUCAGAAUGCUAAAUAUAAUAGCAUUCAAAAUGCUGAAAACCAAAUUUAUAUAAGGAAAAAAAGAAAAAGUGAAUUCUAACAACUUAAAUAUUUGGACGAGAGUUAAAACACAAGGCAUUAACACUCACCAAAUUGAAAGGGCACCAACUGCAGUUACCGCGUUGUCAAGAUGUCCGGUGAGGAUAAUAAUGCUCAUCAUAUACCAGAUCUCGAGGCAAAGCAUAACAGCAGAAGCAAGAGAGAGCCUAACGAAUGCCCAUAUCUCCUUAAAGGCGGACCCUGAAAAUCCCUUCCAACCAUCCUUGCACCAACCAAUGACAUAGACAAACUGCGCAAUCGCAGUGCCCCAACUCGUAAGAUCAUACGCUGUGGCUGCACCCGACGCUCCCCAUCCAAAUACAUAAACAAAAAGCCAACAGAUGAAAACCUGCAAGACUAUUGCAAGGAAAGCGAUCCAUGCAAGCACAGAAACUUUGCUCUGAGCUUGAAGAAACUUCUGAGUCGGAAAUGUGACAGAAAGCGAGAACAGCUGAGGAACGAUCAUCAGUGUGUAUACUCCAGACAGAUUCGCAAUUUCAUCACUUUGUCCGAGGACCUUGAGGAUUGGGGUUGCAAAUAUGUAGAGUGGCAAAAGGAUGCAGCAAGUGGCAAACAGGAUUAUCAUUGAGCGUUGCAUGUAAACACCAAGCAUAUGAACUUGUCCUGCACCAAAUGCCUGCCCACAUAGUGUCUCAAGGGCACUUCCCAUGCCAAGCUACACGUUGCAAACUAAUAUCAGACUCCGUCUAUUUGAUCAAUAUAUGCAGCAUAUAUCUCAAUGACAUGUUUGGUACACGCUUGAAAAGAAAACACUAUCCAGAAUUCUUGUCCAUAAUUUGUGUACCAAACGUGUCAUAAUAUCUUAAACGCGAUCAAUUGGAGCGUCAGUAUAGCAAACAAAGGCUUGGGCAUUCAAGCCUAUAUAUAAGAAAAUUGACAUGGCUUUGAGGACAAAACUAAAUUUGGUCAAUGACUGGAGGAAAGCACAAAGAAUUAAAUAAUUCUCAUUUUUGUAUUUUCAAGCUCAAACCACAUUUACAGCUCUUAUCGGGGGACUAGAAGCAGAUUUUGGAGCCCUAAUCAUGUUGAUUAAGCUUAAAAAGUUACAAGUAAACAAGUCUUUAAUUAUAUAGUUUUUAACCUUUUAUUAUUGGUGAAAUUUAAAAAUAAAUUACUUAUUUUCACAAUAAGAUAAGAGUUAUUUUUUAAAAGGAGUAAGUUAUCCCUAAUUAAAAAUUACUGAGAAGUAACUUAAUGUUUUGUUUAAACUAAGCUAAACAUGCUCAAAGAUUCAUAGCUCGUGAUUGGAUGUGGAUUUUUGAUAACUUCUUCAACAAAAGGUUGUAAAACAUGUCUCUUAUUUUGGCAGUAUGACUCCAUAAUCAUCGAAGAAGUGACAUUUCAAAAUAUUGUUUUACAAGAAUCCACUCAAAAAAAACUCGAUCAAACAUGUUCACAGUGUCCCGUAAAGUACCUUAUGUACAAGAAAUUAAUUCCAUGACAGCCUUGUGAUGACCCACAUAACAUGAAGGAUGACAGAAGCACAUGAGGUUAUUUAAUUAUUUUCACAGCUAGAGCGUUGGACCAUAAUAUCCCCAUUUGUACACACAACGUUUGAUACGGAUACUUUAAAAUCAUUUUUUCCCAAAUUCAUUUUCAACUUCGAUCUUUCACUAAAUAAUGAUUUUUUCUUACUUUUUAACUAGACAUUCUCCUAAAAAAUUCACUUUACACAAAAUUUAUGUCAAACGUCAACUAAAUCUAUAACAAUCAUGAUAUAUAUAUAAAUCAUAUUGUACAUCAAGUUUGACAUUAUUUGACAUAUUUUUAUACAUUGAUUUUAAGAUGAUACCACAUGUACAAACUUUUUUUACAAACUCCCUUACUUAUUACUCACAAUAGGGGUGGAAAUCACAAGCCGAUAUUUUUUAAAUUCACGUGGGGUCCGUUAAUUUUGUGAGAAUGAGUACACCAUUUUGUUAAAAAGAUUUUGUACAAAUAUCUUUAUCCUUGAUUUUAACUACAUUUUUCCCAAUCAACGGCUAGAUUUUCGAUACAUAGGCGGAAUGUCAAAGAUGGUGUCAACCAUAAGUGUACAAGAAACAUAAUUCAUAAAUCAAUGCACAAUUCUUAGAUUUCAAAGCAAAAAUUCAAAAAAAUAAAAUUAAGCACACUAUAUAUUACCAAAAUUAAAACAAAUCAAGCCUCCAAAUCAUCUACAGAAAAAGGGGAAAAAAUCCAAUAAUUUCUUGGUCUCUUAACAAUCUACCCUCUCAAGUACCAAUAUACACUUUCGGCCACCGCCAUCAAAAAGUUCAUAACUUUGUGACUUAAUCAUUGGAAAAUAAUAUUCUUUGUAUAACUCAUAACCUGCCAAACAAUAAUUAAAUACUAACCAUGAAUCCGAAAGAGAAGGUGGAAAUGACUGAGGUAGCAAUAGAAAAAGCAGAAAGCUCAAUAUCUCCAAGAUGGCCAACAAACAUGGAGGUAACAGAAUUGGUUCCAAAUUGGCAAAGAAUUUGAAAGGCUAUGGGACCUCCAAUUCUCCACAGAUUGAGUGACUCUAUACGGAAAAUCUUCCACCAUGCCUUCAGCCCUUUAACCGGUCGGUAGUCUCCGUCGUCUCCAAUCAAUUGGAGAUCGCCAGAGUCGUUCCGGUCGAGCAGCGGCGCCUCCAUUCAAUAAAGACGAAGUAGGUAAAAGAAUGCAAGAUUAAUGACGGAGUGAAUAUCUCACUCUAUAAAUGUAGAUAUAUAACUGUGUAUGUAUAGGUGGUUUAAUAAGUCUUGCGAAGCUCAUGCAAGAGAGUGUAACCAUAAAACAAAAAUUCGGGUAAGUUGUACCAACCCGUAGGAUGCAACCCCCAUUUUUCAACUGCCUCAUCUUGAACUUGGGGUUGGUAGAAUGGGUGGUUAAGGAAGGGGCGUACCUCAUAUUUUCAUUCACAUCAUAGGAUGCAUUUAAACAUUUUUCCCCCAUUCAUAAGAUUUUUGUAAAAUUAUAUUUAUUGAUUUAAAAUUCAAUAAAUAAACGGCAAAGAAAAUGUUAUAUUUACAAUAUUUAUAUAAUAUCAAAUAACAAGGCAAAAGUGUGUCAAACGAUCAAUUAAGUGUUGGAAAUUGGUUAAGUAAAAAUUGAAAUUGGAAAGUGUGACUAACGUGUCAAUUUCGGCCGAAUAUUCGGACAUGAUCCAAUGGUCAAAUUACAAAAGUAAAAGGCCAACUUGAUCUACUCAUCGAGUAGAUGAUCAUAGUAUAUUUGGACAUUAGAAACCAAUUCCAGGUGAAUGAGAAAUUGUGAUCCAAAGAUUGGAGGAAAAUACGAUGGAAAAGGGCUAAAAUACAUUGAUUCUCGAUGUUCGCUCGAGUGAAAUUCAAGCGAAAAGCAAGCGAAGUAUGUUCUGCUCGGAUUUUUGAAGCGCUGCUCGAGCGAGAAGCUAGCGAAGAUGAAAUGUUGCAACUAUUCGAAAGAUUGCAUGAUUUGACCCACACCACUUCAUCCACACCCCUUCCUCCUCUAUAAAUAGGACCCCUUGGACGUCCUAAGGGUACACCAACUCAUAUUUUGCAUUGAGCACUCUUCUUCUCUUACAAAAUCUCUCUUCCUUUUUCUUGCAUAAAAUCCUUUUGUAGAGGGGAAAAUUCCGUCGGUUCGCCGGUUCUUGUAGUGUGAAGUGCUGCUACCACAAGAUUAAACAUCCAUUGUAUCUUGGGAGACAAGUGCCGUUAACCAUGAGCACCAUAGCGAGGCAAUAUUGUCUUACAAAGAAAGUGCCAUCACUUGCCUCGAAUUUUAUUUCAUUUCUUUUUCUUCUCCUUUUCUUGUUUCAUUUUGAUACCUUGAUGUGGUUUUGUACUAUACUUUCAAGUUUACAUAUCGAUAAUUUGAUCAUGUUCCUGCGGGUUAAACAUUAAUUUAUUUUGAUACAAGCAUCAACAACCAUCAUACCGCUCACAUAAACCCCAGAACCAACAAUCUUAAGACAAUAUUUGUCGGUAGUUGUUUUAGUUUUGUUUUGGUGUAACCCAUAUUUUGUUCUUCAUUUUGGAAUAGUCUUUGUGCACUGUUUCUUUCCCUUACUUUGCGUUAUAAUAAUCUUCUGUUUUUGUAACAAAAAUGAAUACUGUAGAGACUUCAAGUCAAAACGGUACAAACAUGGUUACGCCUAUGGCUAUAAACACUUCAAUCCUGCAUGGUGAAAAAUCGAAAAAAUUUAGUGGCGUGAAUUUUAAGAGAUGGCAACAAAAGAUGUUAUUCUAUCUCAAUACCCUCAAUUUGGUAAAGUUCUUAAAAGAGACCGCGCCAUCCGUACAAGAGGGAGAAAAUAAUCGAGAGUUGAUUAUUGCGUUGGAUGCAUGGAAGCACUCGGACUUUCUAUACAAAAACUACAUUUUGAAUGUGUUGGACAAUACACUAUAUGAGGUGUAUAGUUCUAAAAACUCGGCCAAGGAAUUGUGGGAUUCUUUGAAAAAUAAAUACAAGACUGAGGAUGCCAGAACCAAGAAGUUCAUUGUGGGCAAGUUUUUAGACUACAAAAUGGUAGAUACCAAAACUGUGAUAAGCCAAGUGCAAGAAAUUCAAGUACUCUUGCACAACAUACUUGCCGAAAAGAUGGAACUAAGUGAAUCCUUUCAAGUGGUUGCCAUCAUCGAGAAACUCCCUCCUAUGUGGAGAGAUUUCAAGAACUAUCUCAAACACAAACAUAAAUAGAUGAAUUUGGCAGAAUUGAUUGUCCGCUUGAGAAUUGAAGAAGACAAUAGGAAAAAUGAAAGGAAACCUAUUGACCAACUUGGAGCAAACUUUGUUGAAACAGAACAAAGGCUUUUGAACAAGAAAUGAAAGAUCUCAAACGAUGCACCGCUUAGAGAUAACUCCAAGAAAGCAAAAAAAUCCAAAGGGAAAUGCUAUAAUUGUGGAAAGGCUGGACAACGUUCAAAUGAAUGUUGAAAGCCUAGGAAACCUGCUCAAGCCAUCAUGAUCGAGAAGGACAACCUUUCCGAAGGAAUGCAGGAGAUGAGUCUAUUUGCAGUUGUGUCCGAAUGCAACAUGGCUGGAAACACAAGGGAAUGAUGGAUAGAUAUCGGUGUAACCCGUCAUGUGUGUACUGAUAGGGCAAUGUUUUCCAAUUAUCAAGAACUGAAAAGGGAACAACUAUUCAUGGGGUACACUGCAAGUUCCAAGAUUGAAGGAUAAGGCAAAGUCACUUUAAAGAUGACAUCUGGAAAAGAGCUAGUCUUCAACAACGUCCUACAUGUGCCAGAUAUUCGAAAAAAUCUUGUGUCUGGAUCUCUUUUUAGUAAAAAUGGUUUCAGACUUGUAUUUGUAUUCGAUAAAUUUGUACUGUCUAAGAAUGAGAUGUAUGUAGGAAAAGAAUACAUGUGUGACGGAAUGUUCAAGAUGAACGUUCUAACUAUUGUACCGAAACAAGGCAUUAUGAAUAAAGUAACAAAUUCUGUUUACUUGCUUGAGAUGAACGUUCUAACUGUUGUACCGAAACAAGGCAUUAUGAAUAAAGUAACAAUUCUGUUUACUUGCUUGAGUCUUGUUUAUGGCAUAAUCGAUUAGGACAUGUGAAUUAUAAUUCAUUGCACAAAUUUAUGAAUCAAAGUUUAAUUCCGGCGCUUGAAAUUGAUUCUAAUCACAAAUGUGAAAUAUGUGUUGAAACAAAAUUGGCUAAAACACCGUUUCAUUCAAUUCAAAGGAACACGGUACCUCUAGAAUUAAUCCAUAGUGAUUUAUGUGAUUUGAAAUUCGUUCAACCUAGAGGCGAUAAGAAAUACUUUGUACCUUUUAUCGAUGAUUGUACAAAGUAUUGUUAUGUCUUUCUUUUAAGAAGCAAAGACGAAACCUUAAAUGUAUUUAAACAAUAUAAGGCUAAAGUUGAAACGUAACUUGACAAAUGAAUUAAAAAUAUUCGUAGUGAUCGACGAGGUGAAUAUGGGGCACCAUUUGAAGAAUUCUGUUCCGAACAUGGAAUUAUUCAUCAAAUAAUGGCUCCAUACUCUCCUCAAUCGAAUGGAAUUGCCGAAGGUAAAAAUCAAACUCUUAAAAAGAUGAUGAAUGCGAUGUUAAUAAGUUUGGGUUUACCUCAUAACUUGUGGGUGGAGGCUAUCUUAACGAAAAAUAGUCUUCUCAAUCGGAUACCGCUUAAAAAAAUGGAAGAGACACCAUAUGAGUUAUGGAAAUGUCAUUCUCCUUCCUACCAACAUUUAAAAGUAUGGGGGUGUUUGGAAAAGGUUGAAGUACCCAAGCUUAAACAAAUUAAAAUUAAUUCCAAAACGAUCGAUUGCAUAUUUAUUGGAUAUGCCAAUAAUAGUAGUGCAUAUCAUUUUUUAGUACAAAAAUUUGAUAUUCAAGAUGUACACGAGGGUACCAUAAUUGAAUCAAGGAAUGCAGUAUUCUUUGAAAACAUAUUUCCUUACAAAGAUAGGGAAACGUCAAGUUCAAAUAAGAGAACUUAUGAAUCUGCAAAUGGAUCUUCAAAUGAUGAAGAACCAAGGCGCAGUAAAAGGGUUAGAACAUCCACAUCAAUUGAUCAGGAUUUUCUAACUUAUAUGGUAGAAAAUGAUCCAAGGACUUACGAUGAAGCGAUGUCUAAUCUGGAAGCACCGUAUUGGAAGGAAGCUAUCAAUAGCGAGAUAGAUUCCAUAAUGCAAAACAUACUUGGGAAUUGGUAGAUUUACCUCCCGAAAAUAAGCUUUUAGAGUGUAAAUGGAUAUUCAAAAAGAAAUUGAAAUCGGAUGGAUCCAUUGAACAAUAUAAGGCUAGAUUGGUUGUCAAAAGAUAUAGGCAAAAAGAAGGAUUUGACUUCUUUGAUAUCUACUCACCCGUAACGAGAAUCACCUCGAUAAGGUUGCUAAUUGCAAUUGUGGCAAUACAUAACCUUGAGAUUCAUCAAAUGGAUGUAAAAACGGCAUUCCUAAAUGGUGAGUUAGAAGAGGCGAUAUAUAUGAAACAACCUAAAGGGCUCGUAUCUCCAAACGAAAGCCAUAAAGUAUGUAAACUUGUUAAGUCCUUAUAUGGCUUAAAACAAGCUCCUAAGCAAUGGUACCAAAAGUUUGACAAAACAAUGCUGUCAAAUGGAUUUAAAAUAAAUGAAUGUGACUAGUGUGUAUAUUUGAAGAAUACACCGAAUGCCUAUGUGAUAAUAUGUCUAUAUGUAGACGAUAUGUUGAUAAUGGGUAAUAGUCACGAAAUGUUGACAAACACCAAGAAAAUGCUAACAAGGCACUUUGACAUAAAAGACAUGGGUGUGGCAGAUGUAAUACUAAGGAUAAAGAUCUCUAGAACAUCAGAAGGAAUCGUACUUUCCCAAUCUCAUUACCUUGAGAAAAUACUUAAGAAAUUUGAAGUAUUUGAGAAAAGUCCAGCAAAGACUCCUAUUGACACAAAUCUACACUUGGUCAAAAAUAAGGGAGAAUGCGUGUCACAACUAAGAUAUUCACAAAUAAUUGGCAGUCUAAUGUAUGUUACAAAUUGCACUCGACUGGACGUUGCGUUUACGAUGAAUAACCUUAGUAGAUUCACAAGUAAUCCAAGCCAUGAUCAUUGGGUGGCAUUGAUAAGGGUCCUUAGAUACUUGAAGUAUACCAUGACCUAUGAUUACAUUUCACAAAAUAUCCUGUGGUAUUUGAAGGAUAUUGUAACGCGAAUUGGAUAUCCGAUAUGAAGGAUUCUAAAUCCACAAGUGGCUAUGUGUUUACACUUGGUGGAACUGCUAUCUCAUGGAAAUCUUCAAAGCAAAUGUGUAUAGCUCGAUCAACUAUGGAAUCAGAGUUUAUUGCUUUGGACAAAGCUGGUACCUGCCAUAAGCAUACACUGUGAUAAUCAAUCGGCUAUUGAAAGGGCUAAAAGCAGCAUGUACAAUGGUAAGUUUAGGCAUAUAUGUCGGAGACAUAAUACCAUUAAGCAACUGAUCUCAAUGGGCGUCAUCUCCAUAGAUUAUGUGAAAUUAAAGGAGAAUGUUGUGGAUCCGCUUACGAAAGGUUUGCCAAGAGAUCAAAUACGUUGUCUAUUAAGAAGAAUGAGAUUAAAGCCUACUACGUUAGAGUCCUUGUAAUGGUAACCCUGCCUUGUUGACUGGAGAUCUGAAAAUCUUAGUUCAAAGGGACAACUAAGUUAUGAGGAUUCCAUGAAUCACUUAGGAAAUAAUUUCCUAACUCAUUCCUAUGAUACCAAAGUGCUUUCUGUAAAAUUGGAAGAGGUUAAGAUAAUCUUUUAAUAAUUCCUAUAUCUUGAUUUAGUCAAGUGGAGUUGGACAGAAUACUCUUAAUAGGAGGUCACCUAUGAGAGUGUGAAGUGAGGCCGUUCAAUGAGAAUUAUUCAAGGCUUAAAUUCUCUAAAACACUUGCAGAACCAAGAGGGGUUCAGGGCCAAAAUGAACCAAGUCAUGAGAACCAAGAAUGGAAUUAGGGAAAACAUUUUGUGAGUAUUGUUGUCUUGGCUUACACUAACAGCUGGUCGGUUCAAGACAUCACGUUCACCAACUAGCCAAGUAAGCUCGAUAAUAUUUCGCUAGGAAAGGUUCAAAGUCGGAAGCUACCUUGCCCGAUGCAAUAUUUUUCCGCUCUGUCUUUCUCUACAAUUGCAUGUAUCGUGUCUCAUAUCAUUUGCAUACUUGAAUUUCCAUUCAUGUGGGGGAUUGUUGGAAAUUGGUUUCCAAAUUAACAUGAAAGAUCGGAAAUUGGUUAAGUAAAAAUUGAAAUCAAAAAGUGUGACUAACGUGUCAACUUCGGCCGAAUAUUCGGACUUGAUCCAAUGGUCAAAUUACAAAAGUAAAAAGGCUAGAUGAUCGUAGUAUAUUUGGAUAUUAGAAACCAAUUUCGGGUGAAUGAGAAAUUGCAGUCCAAAAAUUGGAGGAAACUGCGGUGGAAAAGGGCUAAAAUACAUUGUCGCUCGAUGUUCGGUCGAGCGACAGCGUCGCCGUCGCUUGAGCGAAAAGUGAGCAAGUAUGUUCUGCUCGGAUUUUUGAAGCACUGCUCGAGCGAAAAGCUAGUGAAGAUGGAAUGUUGCAACUAUUUGAAAAAUUGCACGAUUUGGCCCACACCAUUUCAUCCACACCCCUUCCUCCUCUAUAAUAGGACGCCUUGGAUGUCCCUAAGGGUACACCAACUUAUCUUUGCAUUGAGCACUCUUCUUCUAUUACAAAAUCUCUCUCUAUUUUUCUUGCAUAAAAUCCCUUUGUAGAGGAGGAAAUUUCGUCGGUUCGCCGGUUCUUGUGGUGUGAAGUGCUGCUACCACAAGAUUAAACAUUCAUUGUAUCUUGGGAGACAAGUGCCGUCACUUGCCUCGAAUUUCAUUUCUUUUUCUUCUCCUUUUCUUGUUUCAUUUUGAUACCUUGAUUUUGUGGUUUUGUACUACACUUUCAAGUUCACAUAUCGAUAGUUUAAUCACGCACCUACGGGUUAAACAUUAAUUUGUUUUGAUACAAACAUCGACAAUCAUCAUACCGCUCACAUAAACCCCAGAACCAACAUUAAGUAGUAGCCGUCUUGCAGUUUUAAAGGAUAAAAUAUUAAUCAAAUUUGUAUAGUCAAAUACCGUUCCCAUCCAUAUGUUCUUGUAUUUUGAUUAUUCUUACCGAGCUAGUGAAUAUGAAGUCUUUCCUUCUCUGGGCUACUGGAUUAGGGGAAAGCAUAGACCUAUCUCGAUUGAUUUACCAACGGGUGCUCUUUUUCGAAGAUGACUUUAGGAGGACCCCUCGUCAAAGUUUAUUAUCUCUACUGAGCUUGAUGGGUCGGAAGGAGUCAAAAGAGGCAAUGCUCCAACACACUCAAAAAAACCAAGGACAAAUAUAUAAAGGAACUAUACAGGAAAGACAUUGAAUCGCUAAAAAGUCUGAUUUUUUAAAGGAUUCACUACUUUUUGACUCUGUAGCUUAGAAAGAAAUUUAAUUUCUUUUGCUAACUUCCUACCUCUGACGAAAUCUUAUAGCAAUCAAAUUACUGCUUCGUUGGGAAGAUACAAGACAUUGCUGCACUCAUUCAUUAGUGUUUGGCGUACCUGCAAGAUAGAGCUAUGAUUGUCGUGAACAACCUUCUUGUUCUUUCAAUGCAUUUUGCAAAUCAUAAUAAAAGUUAGGAUCUUAUUCUUUUACCUCGGACCAAUGAUUUGAACUUGAGUAUAAAAGAAAAGCCUACUGAAAAUUCUCAUUUUCGUAACUUUGAGAUAAAUAAUAAUUCCCCAUGCACAUAUAUUAUGAAAAUUUUAUGGAAAAGGGCAUAAAUUACAUUUUGUUAAAAAAAUAGUCAUUCUUGCAUAACUUAGCAAAAGUUAUAAUAUUAAGCCCUUGUUUGAGCCCUAUUUUAUUAAAAAGGCUCAUUUUUUUCAAAACUCAUUUUCAACAACAUAUUUUUCAAUAAAAUAAUUUUACACGUAAAUUAAAAUUUUUCUUAAUGUUUAACCGCAUAUUCUCCAAAAAGGCUUUUAAAAUAUAUUUUCUUUUUUCAAAAUGGGACUCAAACAGUGGCUUUGAAUAAACUCAUAGUUUAAGGGGACUUUUGAAAAUGUCACGAGUCCAUUCCCACCUACAUUGAUGUGAUUAUAACUAAUGAUGAAUAUCAUUAUUUGUUCACAAAUAACACUAUUGCCUUCGAAAUCAUACCAUGGAAACUCCUAUUUCAUAAAUUAAAAAUCUUUUAUGGAGAUUACACCCUACUUCCCACCCUACCCUACCCCUCCCCUACCCAACAUUUAAUUAUCCCCAUUCAAUUAAUAGUAUCCCCAACCCCACCAAAUUGAAAAUAUCCUCCAACCCCACGCGGACCCCACCAAGAACCCCAUCCCACCCCACUUGUAAAAUGUCUUUAGAAAUUGAAAACACAUUCUGAAGAUUACACCACACCCACGAACCACCCCUAUCCCACCCCACCCUCAAAAAGUUCCAAGUCACUGUAAGUAAUCAAAUCAUUGACCUUUGUUAUUUAUGAUUAAUUGUGAUCAAAUUUGUCUUCCGUAUGACUAAUUGUGAUCAUGUCAAUUUUAAUUGCAUCGAUACGUUAACAAGUCACAAUUAACAAAUAAUUAGUCACAACCAAUCGUAUUAAACACAUAUUCGAUCACAUAUGGCCACCACAAACAAAUUUACACACAUCAUAGACCAACACCACAAUCCACCACUAGUCAUCACCAUCUUACCUCCAAUGCACCACUAAUACUACCUUUAACUCAAAUUCAUGACCAUGAAUACUAUCUUCAUUGACCUGUGUUAUCUGUGAGUAAUGAUCAAUUUUUUCUUCAGUAUGACUAUCAGUGACCGGGUCAAACUAAUUUUUGAUUGUACGUAACCAAGUCAUAAACAGUUACAGUUAACAUAGAUUUGAUCAUAGACAAUCACAAUAAAGAUAGACUUGAUCAUACUCGAUUUUUGUCACAACUACCACUCUGAUACCACCACCACUCUCAACAACGUCAAGAACCAAACGCGCACAACCUCACCACAACCAUAUGAACCACCAACAACAAAACCAUCACUGCCUACACCACAAUCAACGAACCGAAGAUCAAAAAAUCAUAGCCACCAACAGAUAUAUAGAAAAGUUUGUUUCUAGUCUUAACCUUAAUAUUGUGUAGCUUCAUUGGAUCAAGUGUGCAAAAUUACGUUUGUGAGCUUUUGGCAUUAACCUAGUGAAUUAGCAGAAAUGAAUGCCAGAAUUCUCAAUGAGAUAAUGACCAUAACUGCUAUUACCACAAUAAUCUCACUACCGCCAUGAACACCCCCGAAAAUCUAUAGAUUGGAAAUGAAUCAUCACACCUAAAAAUCAAGUAUGACUGUAAUGCUGAAGCAGAACCUACGCACAGCCACACAACUGUCCAUAGACUAACCGCCAUUGCAAGCACCAUCACAUUAGCGACCACAGCGAAGCUAUGUGCCACCACUCGCAGCAAUAGCGACAUCUUAUUGUGCCGUUGUGAGAGGAAAAGAUAUAGAGAAGAGAAAGACUGAGAAAUUUUAGGGUUUGAAAAUUAAUUGGGUUUGGAAUGAAUUGAAGUGGGGUCGGAUGGGGUGCGGUGGGGGUUGAAUAUGUAGAUUAAGCUUAAUUAAAUUUCUAUUAAUUACAAUUAAUAGUCUUAUUUACUACCUGGAGUCUAAAUUUUAAACUUUACUCCCUUAUUUAUGAAAAUUAAUAUUUAAUUGCAUGGUUCCAUGUAAUUUUCUCUGAAAAUAAACCUUUUUAAAAAGUAGCUUAAACAUUUAUCGGUUAGUUAUUAAUAUUAGAUCAUGUCGUUUUAUCUUGAAACAUCAACUUUAUUUAGAGGAUUGAUACAAACCUUAGUUUAUCGUCAGUACAUUUAGUACGAGAUUUACCCCUAACAUACAAUACUAAGCUCAUGUUUGGACUUUGGUGUAGAUUAAAAUCAAUUUUUUAAUAAAUUGUGAUUAAAGUUGAUGAAAUGUAUAAUUGAAAAUAUGUAAAUUUUGUUUUAUUUAAUAUUAUGUAGUUCAUUUUACUAAAUACUUUACCAAAAGUUGUAUAAAAAGGUGAUAUCACAUUUGGUGGUUCUCUCAUGUUCUAACAAAAUUCACUUUCCACGUCCUUUUCUAUAUACGCGUUAAAUGUCUUCUUGUGUAAUUAACAAAGUAAAAUUGAACCGAAAAAUGAGAUAUUAAGGGUGUGUUUGGUGUACUGUAUAGGACUAUUUUCAAUUUUCAGUUUUGCAAACUGUUGAAGACAUGAUUGGUCUAUUAUUUCUAAAAAUACAUUUUGGAAAACGAUGUUAAAUUUGUAACAGAAAAUUCAAAAUUCAAUUUUGACAAUUUUGGUAUUUCAAUGAAAAUUUGGAAAACACUCAAAACAAGGAAAACAAGCCUUCAAAUAAAAUUUUAAAAAAUAUAAAUAAAAAAAUCUAAACAUUAAAAACUAUGAAAAAUAAAUUAUGAAAAAUUAAAAUUAAAAAGUACAAAAAAAUAAAUUUCUAAAAAUUUGUUAAAAAAUAAAAAUGAUAGAAAAUCAAAAUAGUCCAAUCUUUACCUAAAAAUUCUAAAAAAAUAUUGUUGACACACGAACUCCGAUCUCAUAAUAAGUCAUUCGCAGGCCCCACCUCAGGCAUAUGUGAGUUCGAUCAUGAAAUUCAGUUCAACAUACUACCGCCAUAAUCUUAAGAGACAUCAUGAUUACCCCAUGUCACAUCGCCUUCUCAAUCAACUACAGUUGUAGAGGGUGAUGUCAUCACUACCCAAAACCAUCAAUCCGAGGCCCCGAACCUUCAAAUCACUUGCAAGUCAUCAUUACUUGAGAAAACAUUGACACAUGACCAUUGGCCUCAUCAACCAAUGACAGGAGAGUUCAUUGACUCGACUUUCGAGAUCGAUCCUAUUCCUGAUUUGAUUGAUUUCAUGUAAUUUCGGUUGUACUCAUGUAUAAAUAGCAGAGAAAUGGUUUUCUUAAGGACAGGUGAACUCUCAAGAAAACAUAUUACACAAUUUAAUCUUUUACAAAUAUAUUUUGUCCUUUUCCAUAAUAGAGGUAAAUUGCCCUUUUUCUUAAAGUUGACUCAAGGUUAAUCUUUACAAAUUUUGACGUUAAUAGUUUGGCGCUAGAAGGAGAGCCCCCGUAUUGUGAAAAAUAGUCCCAUCCUCCCUACUAAAACACGAGUCAUGAGUUGUAAAUCUAGUACCAGAAAUCAAUCUCAUACUCACCCCUCUGAGACCAAUACUCCGGCCAGUUCUCCAAGACGGCAAGAUCAAAAUCGAACAAACGACCUGUAAAUGAUCGCUAUGAGGGAAGCCCUGGAGAAGUUGAAAAAUUGAGUUGUUCGAUUGAAACAAAACUAAGCCCACUUGUCUCCACCAAACACCGAGAUGGAUUCCCCAGUGAGGACAAAGGCUAGACGUCCCCCACCAAGAGGACCUUUCACUUCUCAAGAGGAGAAUCCUCCAGAAGUCUAACUAAUAAAGUCAGGAGCUAGGUCCUUGCAACGGAGCCUACUGCUAGGAGAACUGGUCGUGUGUUUGAUAGGUUGGGAACUCAGUACUCGCUAACCCCUAUGCGAAGUCAUGCUGAACCCGACCAAAAACUUCAACUGGAGUAAGCAGAGCCCAAAAUGAGCGCCCUAAAAAGAUGCAUUGCUGACCUGGAGGCAAAAAAAAAGGCGGUACCCAAGACUACCUCACCAAGUGGCAUUCCCCCUUCACUGAAGAUCGAACCAUUGCCUGAAAAAUUGAAGAUUCCCCAGAUGACCGUAUACAAAGGAGAAGGGAAUCUCCUUAGCCAGUUUGAUAAGUACAUCUCGUGGAUGGAGUUACUAGGGGCAAGUGAUGCCAUCAAGUGCCAAGCUUUCCUCCUAACCUUGGGAGAUAAAGCUCAAAGGUGGUUCAAGAGAUUGCAUCAGAGGUCGAUAAAAAAUUGGAGCGACCUGACGAUAGCAUUCCUGGCCCAGUUCAUGGGUUCCCAAGCCAGGACUACUCCCAAGGAGUGGCUGGUGAGCAUCAAACAGGGAAAAGUGAAUCCCUCAAAAGUUAUCUAAGCAGAUUCAAUAAGCAAUCCAUGGAAGUGGAAAAGAUAUUUGAUGACGCCGUACUCGCUGGGUUGAGGCCCAGAACGAGAUUUUGGUGUUCAGUACAUGAAGACGGACCUAGAACUUACCACGAGCUCCUGAACCGAGCGGAGAAAUAUAUAAGUGCUGAGGAGGCAACCUCUGAUCAAGAGGAAGCUAGAUGUGAUCCUGACCUUAGCAAUACGGUGAAAAAGAAAAGGCCAGAUAGGAAUCCUCAGCCUAAAAGAAGGAAGGAUAAGAGAGAGAUCGUCCUAAGACUCAACCGUACAGGUUUUGAGAGUAUCACCCACUGAAAGCCACCUUAGAGGAAGUAUUCAUGCAAGCGGGCAAGAAAGAAGCAUUUCACAAGCCGGUGGCCCAGAAGAACGGGCCGGGGGGACAUCACCAAGGGCGAUACUACCGAUAUCAUAGGAUGGCAGGACAUGACAUCGACAGUUGUCGGGAGUUGAAAGAAGAAGUUGAGUCCUUGAUACGUAGAGGGCAGCUGCAAGAGUUUGUUGCCAAACCAAAAGAGGUAGACCGACCUCAACCACAACAGCCUCCGUAGCAAAGGCCUGCCGCACGAACUCAGCAGGCAGUUCCUAAUCGUAAUUCGCCCCCACGAGCUGAGAUUAGAUGAUGGUAGGAGAAAAUUAGUAUAUUGAAGGGUCCAGAAGGGCAAGACACAGACAAGCCCAGGAUGCAUGAAUCCUGCCGAACUAUAAAGAACGAACUCUACAGAUUGGUAUAGAUCCUGAAUGGUUCUGGUUCAUGGAGGAAGAUUCCCAAUGGAUCCUCCAGGAUCAGAGUGAUGCCCUAGUAAUCACCAUACCAAUGACCGGGUUGAAAGUGCAUAGGACGCUGGUAGAUAACGGGAGCUCGGUCAAUAUACUGCACUAAGAUAGUUGGAAAUAUCAGAGUGCUAUCUUCAGCCAUACCCAAGAAAACUGCAGGAGUUCUCAGGAGAUUCUAUUGAGGCCUGAGGUCAGAUUGUCCUCAUUGCAGAGUUAGGCGAAACCCCUCGCCAAAGAAGGAUUCUAACUGAUUUUGUGAUAGUCGACCUGCCCUCCAAUUACAAUGCCAUAUUGGAGCGGCCUAUAUUGCACGAGCUGAAGACCACCACGUCAAUUUAUCAUUAUUGUAUGAAGUUUUCCACUCCCUACGAGACUGGAUUUGUGCUAGGAGACUAAGCUAAAGCUAGGACGUGCAAUAUGAACCUGCCCAAAUCAACAUGCUAAGAGACAGCCCAAAUGACCGAACUGGGAAAGCUAGAUUAAUGAGGCCCAUUGUUGCAAAUCUCUCUAAGAUUGGCAUAACAGAGAAGCAUCUCAAGAGACCAACAGAUGACCAACUGUCCUUUGACAGAAAAGAGGCUGACCCAUGCCCUUACCCUAGGUCUUGGUAAUCUCAAUACCUUUGGUAGGGGUAACCAUCCCAAAGGUCCUGAUCAACUCAAGAAGUGCUAUCAACAUUCUCUUCAGCAACACUCUCAAAUGGAUGGGCAUACCUACCAACUUCCUAUGACCAUACUCUAAUAUGGUCUUUGGACUAAGUGGAGCCCUGACCACGGCUAAUUGGUUAAUCAAGCUCACCGUUGAGGUCGGAUCGGCACCUCGCGAAAUCAGAAUAAAUUUUGGGUUUGUGGUAUUCGACACUCCAUCGUCAUAUGACGCUAUUAUGGGACAGUCCUUGAUAUUCAGUUUGAGAGUAGCAGUAUCCCUAUACCAUUAUUCAAUCAAAUUUCCCACGCCUCAUGGUGUAGGCGAAGUCAAAGGAAACAAGAAACUUGUCAAAAGAUGUCAAUUGAAAGCUUAUACCAACCAUCAACGCAUUUUCCCAAGAGUGUAUAUGGCCCGCACAUGGGAACCUAAACUCGAUUCACUAGACCCGUACACCAUGAUCGAAGGAGGAGAACCCGUGGAAGAAUUGGAGGAAGUACAAGUUUUUGCUGACGACCCAUCAAAAAAACUCAAGAUAAGAAACAAGCUACGGCCUUUGUUCUGAAGUGAAAUUGUGAAUUUCCUCAUACAGAACCUUGACGUCUUUGCUUGGGACCAUGAAGACAUGAAACUAAUCAACCCCACAAUUGCUUGCCCCGGGCUGCAUGUUGACCCCGCAGUUUGGCCAAGGCAGGAAAAACGCUGUCCUCUAAACACGGACAAAUAUGAAGUAUUUAACAAGGAGAUGCAAAAGCUACUACUCAAAUGGAUUCACAUGAGAGGCAAAAUAUUCCAAGUGGAUCACAAACCCGGUUCUAGUAAAGAAACACAAUAGAGACUGGAGGGUGUGCAUAGAUUUCACGACCUCAACAAACCAUACCCUAAAGAUAGCUUCUAUCUGCCAAGAAUAGAUCAAAUGGUAGAUGUCACUGUUGGACAUGAACUACUCAGCUUUAUGGACGCGUACUCCGGAUACAAUCAGAUACCGAUGUAUGCCCAGAUUAGGAGCAUGCAUUGUUUGUCACUGACCGAGGUCUUUAUUGCUACAGGGUAAUGUUGUUCGGUCUCAAAAAUGCUAGAGCCACUUAUUAGUGGCUUGUAAAUUCUAUGUUUUCCCAACAGAUCGAAAAAAUCAUGGAAGUCUAUGUUGACGACAUGUUAGUCAAAAGCACCUGUGCCAAAGACCAUUGCCAGCAUCUUUUAGAAUUGUUUGAUAUUCUAAGAAAAUAUAGAAUGAAGCUGAACCCAAGAAAAUGCGCCUUUGGAAUUAGCACGGGAAAAUUCCUUAGCUACAUGGUGAACAACUAGGGAAUCGAGGCGAAUCCGGAAAAGAUACAAGCUAUCAUCAACAUAAAAGCCCCAACUAGGCCAAAGGAAGUGUAGAGUUUGAAGGAGAGAUCGUCGUCCUUAGUCUAUUCGUAUCAAAGUCUACAGAUCGAUGCAAACCUUUCUUCAAUACUUUACGGGGAGGAAAAAAGUUUGAAUGGACCUUGGAAUGCCAGGAUGCUUUCGACGAACUAAAGAAACAGCUAGCUCAACCCUCUGUGCUUUCAAAGUCGAAGGGAAGCUACUUCUUGAGACUAUUCUUAGCCAUUACAGAACACGCUAUCAGUGCCAUCCUAAUUCAGGAGGAAGACAGAACACAAUACCCCGUCUACUACAUAAACAAGGCACUCCAUGAUGUCGAGCUCUGUUACUCUCCACUGGAAAAACUAGCAUAUGCGUUGGUUGUGGCAGCCCGGAAACUAAGACCCUACUUCUUGGAGCACUCCGUAGAGAUCCUCACCAAUUCACCAUUAAGGUAGACGUUACAGAAGCUAGAUACAUCUGGAAGAAUGGUCAGAUAGGCAGUAGAGCUUGGAUAAUUCGACAUAAGAUGCAGGCCCCGCACCUUUAUUAAAGGUCAAGCCUUCGCAGACUUCGUUGUGGAAUUCAACAAUGAACCUUUUAAGGAAUCACCACCAGAGGCACAUUGGGAACUUUUCAUUGACAGUUCGUCAAUCAGAGACUAGUCGGGACAGGAAUUGUCUUAAUUAGUCCGAACCGACGACUAUUUUGUGAAGCCCUACCUUUUGACUUUUUAAGGCUACGAAUAAUGAAGCCGAGUAAAAAGCUCUCAUUGUCGGAAUAAGGAUGGCAGUUGGGUUAGGGAUCCCCAGCUUGAUCCUGCACAGUAACUCCUAACUGGUGGGCAACCAGACCAACGGAAUGUAUCAGGCCAAAGAAGAAAGGAUGGAUGGUUACGUUCAAGUUAUCAGAAGAGAAAUCAAAAAUUUCAAAACUAUUCAAAUCAAACAGAUUCCCCAAUCCCAGAACAACCAUGCCGAUGCUUUAGCUCGUUUAGCUACCAGUGAAGGGAUCGAAAGAUUUGAUAGCAUAUUUGUGGGAAGAAUAACACGACUUGCCACAAAACUAGCCGAGGUGACUCUCAUGAUGAUAGACCAUAAGCCAACCCGGAUAGAUAAAAUUAUCCCGCAUCUUAAAACAGAAGAAUGCCCUAAACAUCUAAUCGAAGCAAAAAGGCUUAGAACUAGGUCAGCCAGAUAUACCCUGAUGGAUGAUUUUCUCUACAAAAGGGGAUACUCUACCCCUUUGCUGAGGUGCUCGAAUGAAGAAGAAACACAGUAUGCCCUGCGAGACGUAAACGAGAGGAUGUGUGGAAACCAUUCUAACAGACAAUCCUUAGGCCACAAAAUCAUAUGCCAAGGAUAUUUGUGGCCUACAAUAAGGCGAGACGCCCUGAACUUUGUAAAGAAAUGUAAUAAAUGCUAGUGUCUCGCCCCUAUCAUCAGAAUGCCGCCGUGCAAGUUGAACCCAGUAGUCGCUCCUGGCCCUUUGCAAAGUGGGGGGUCGACCUGAUUGGACCUAUGCCCACGGUGAAAGGUGGAGUUAAGUUCACUAUCGUAGCAGUGGAUUAUUUCAUCAAAUAUGCCGAGGCGGAACCACUUGCCAAAAUCACCGAACAAAAAACAAUCAAUUUCAUAUAGAAGCAUAUCAUAUGCAGAUUUAGUAUACCUCACUAGAUCAUCACUUACAACGAAAAACAGUUUGACAACGCUUGUCUUUCAGAUUUUUGUGAAGAGUUCGAUACUAAGAAACACUUCUCUAUACCAAACCACCCGCAAGCCAACGACCAAGUUAAGGCCAUUAACAAAAUCAUCAAGCACACAUUGAAGGCAAAACUUGAUGCUCUCAAAGGAGGAUGGGUUGAAGAACUCCCUAGUGUUCUAUGGUCAUACCACACCACCACGAGGACCAGUACGAGUGAAACAUCGUUCUCCCUGGCCUUUGGUGUGGAAGCUGUGAUUUUGAUAGAGGUUGGCAUCCCAUCAUUUCACACGGCUGCCUACAACGAAGAGGAGAACCAGAUGGCUCUUCGUAUAGAACUCGACCUUGUGAAAGAGAAGAUGAAGAUGUCAAACUCAGGAACGUUGUGUACAAGCAGCGUAAUGCCAGAUAUUACAAUAAAAAAGUACGAAAAUGAGAAUUCUAAGUAGGAUCCUUAGUCUAAAGAAAGGUAUUCCUCACCACGAGGGAGGCCGAAGAUGGAUCUCUAAGGCCCAACUGGGAGAGUCUCUACCUGGUACUAAAGAUCCUGCCAAAAAGAGCAUAUGAAUUGGAAGACCUGGGGGAGUAGGCCUCUACCCCACCCCUGGAAUGCCGAACACCUAAGGCAAUCCUACCAAUGAGUAAGAAAAAUCCUUUCUAAUAUGUAAACCCUCCCCUAACAUCGAUCGUAUUAAUAAAAAGGGGUUCGCUACUUUUUUUCCCUGCAGACGACCUGAUUAAUGGUAGACGAAAUUCCUCCUAAGGAAUUACUCAAAGCCUUGCUCCAUACGGAGGCUAAGCUAAGGUCGCAAGUACUGCGACACUUGGACGAAAUUUCUUUUAAGGAAUUACUCAAAGCCCUGCACCAUACGCAGGCUAAGCUAAAGUCGCAAGUGCUGCACUUAGACGAAAUUCCUGCUAAGGAAUUACUCAAAGCCCUGCUCCAUACGCAGGCCGAGCUAAGGUCACGAGUGCUGUGAGACUUAGACAAAAUUUCUUCUAAGGAAUUCCUCAAAACCCUACUCCUUAUGCAAGUCGAGCUAAGGUCAAAAUUUCUUCUAAGAAAUCUUUCGAAGCCUUGUUACUAUGCAGGCCAAUCUAAGUUUGUUUGUGUUACGAUGCUUGGAUGGACAAAAUUUCUUCCAAGGAAUUUCCCAAAUCCUUAUUCCCUAUACGGGCCAAUUAACAAUCGUAAAUGCCCUUGAACCUUGCUUCAAAGGCAAGACGACCUAGGAACACAUGCUACAACCUUUGAGAAAUUGACCUCAAGUGUAGAGGUCACACGCAUUGCCAAAAACACAUAAUAAAAGAUGAAUUCAUUCACAUUUGACAAAAACAAUCGCCAAUAUGUUUGAAGAACAUUGCAAAAAACUACUGAACUAUUAGGAAAUUGACACAAAUGAGGGAAGUUCAAAACAAUGUUCGUAAUAGAGCUAAGGGGCAGAGGGUCCUGUGGGGCUAGAGCCUCAUCUUCAACGUCUUCAUCAGCAGGAGAAAUUCAAACUCCCACUGCCUCCGACAGCCUCUGUAGCUCUUUCUUCUGCUCGCCCAAGGAUUCCUCCAAGAAGUCAACGUCAAACUCUGGCCUCUCUGUAUGAAUGUGCUUUACGAGCUUCUUAAGAGCGACCACAUAGGCGUCGUGGGCUAGGGCGUCAAAUUCAGGAGAAGCUCUCCAAAGCUCAACGACCUUAAUCAUCCUGGCCUCUGCUUCCUCCAUUCUCUUAAUGGCCUCAUCGGCUCUCUUUCCCGCCUCCUCAGCACGGGCUCUCUCCUUUUGAGCUCGAACAUGCUCAUCAUCAGCCAUCUUUUUCUCCGCAACAGCUCGCUGGUAGGCCUUAUCUCCCCAUGCUUUCAGAGCCUCAUUAUCAUCCAUCAGUCUGAGUUCAGAUGCUGAUUUUGCCUCCAGCUCUAUGCCCAUCUUGUUUAAAUGAUCUACAUAUUCUUUCUCCUUCUACCCAAACGUAACCUUCUCUACCUCCAUGCUCUCAUAAAGGCUCAUAGCUUGGUUUUUCAUCUCAAGCAUUUUGUCCAGCUCGACCUUUACCUGGUCCAGUAUAAAAAAAAAAAAAAGAGAGAGGACAACAGAGUUUAAUAGGUAAAAUUCAAUGAUGGCACACAAAAAUUUCACAAAUAGAUACAUACUGAUAAGUGUAUUUUAUACACUUAUUCAAGGAUUUAAAAUGAUGAUAUUUAGUUGCUUCUCAGAUAAAUUUUGGUCUAAAUUGUUGCAUUUAAUGUUAAAUAGACAAAAUUCAAUGAUAGUACAAGACAAUGAAGGAAAUAAGCAGAAGUUGACAAAAUUGGAGAAAAUGGCUAAGUUGUAAAAUAUUCAAAGUUCGGGGACUAAAGUGCAAGUACUCAAAAGUUGUGUCGGAUCUCAUGAUAAAUAUUCAAGAGCACUCGGAGUUAAUUGGAUAAAGAAAGACGUCAAAGAGAUUAAAUAUAAUCAAAAUAUGAUCACACAUCAAGUUCUAACAGAAAAAAUGUUAUGCAUCAUUUUUAGCGUCAUAUUGGGACUCGAUUUUGACAUAGAAAAUGACUGAAUUUGAAAAUAAUAUGAAGGAAAGUUGUAUCCCUUUGAGUUAGCUUUCCAAUGCAUCUUGAAUCGUUUCAAUGGGACAUCGAGAAAGAAAGUUAUGAUAAAAAUACUAAACUAUGUGUUGUCUAUUAGGAAGGUGGCGCCCCAUCUGGGCAUCGGCUAUGGUGCCACUUCAGGGAGUUGAGGCGCCUCCUGGGUGCAUCUAGGGCACAUGGCCCGUUUUGAAGUCCAUAAAACCCUACUUUCUACACACAGGAGGAGGCACAUAUAAAUACAAAUUUCUCACACUUUUGAAGGGGAUUUACACAUUGAGAGACAAGAGAACAUAAUUGGAGAAUCAAAAGAAGAAUUUAAAGGAGUAGAACAUCAAGCAAUCUAAGGUUUAACGCAUUGAUUGGAAGAGGAAGAGGAUCCUUGUGCAAGAUUGGUUUCUUAUUCCAUAUUCUUAUUCAAAAUCCGGUGAUGUCUUCCAUAAUAACUUCUUGUUUUUCUUUUAUUACUAUGAGUAACUAAAUCUAAUUUUAGGGCAAACAAUGUAAACUAUUUGGGACCUUUUAUUUCUUUUAUUUGAGAUUCUUAUUCGUUAUGAUUAUAUGUGUAGAUUUUAAUUAUGUUCUCAAUGCUUUAAAUUUUCUGGUCAAUUAUUUAAUGAUUUCGUGAACAAUAACUGCGUAGAGAUGCGAAUUCUUGUUUAGACCACAUAUUAAAAUAUGGUGAAUUAAUAUAAUGUGUAGAUAUACAUUAUAAUUAUUAGUGCGUUUAACUAAGUUUGAUUCGCAUAGAGAUAUGGAAUUAAAGUAGUAAAAAUUGGCGCAAUGAGAACUCGAGAUUGGUAAAUUGAAUAUAAUAGAAAAAUUCGAUCGAACACUACUUUAGAUUUUAUGAAUCUCGAUAUUAAAAGUAAAGGUGACCAAUAGGUGAAGUUAUUCCACCUUAACAUCCAUUUAUUGUUUGAAUUUCAAAUCACUUUUUGUUGCAUCCAUUCAUAUUUUAAGUAGUUUGAUCAAAAAUCAUAAUAGAUUAUCAUUUUUGUUUAUUUUCAUCAAAUAGUGGUUAGAGAAAACUGAAUUAAGUGCUAAAGUAUAGUCCUCGAUGGAACGAUAAUCCGGACUUAUAGGUCCACUUUACUACUUAUUACGAUACGUAUAUUUGCGGGAUAAAAUUGACAACACAUACAAUAUGUGGACACGUGAAGCUCAUAUUCAUAUACAUACUAACACACAAUUUAACAUGUUAUGUACCCAUACAAGCCUAUAUAUACCUCCCUAUGCAAUUACACAGAGUCACAUAUCUAUAUAUAUAAAAAUAUACAAUACACACACACAUGGAUGACACCUAUUGUCUAAAUCAAUUACUGACAACACACAAAUAGAUCUAGACAUUGAUUUAGGUACAUAUGUAUGUAUAGACAUAGAGGUGUCAAUGGGUCGAACCAGCUCAUAAAAGCACGAGCUCGGGCUCGUCACGAGCCGAGCCUGGCUCACGAGCAGACGUCGUUUUUUCCUUCUUUUUUUUAAACAAAUAGGUAAAUUGAAAAAUAAAAAAGUAAUUUUAAUUUUUAAAUCGUGAAUUAUAAAUUAUAUAUAAAAAACUAGGUAAAAAAUUUAAACCCUCUUCUUUUAUCAAGGCUUGGGACUGGCUACUUAAAUUUAGAAUAGGCGGAGUUAAAAAUUGUGUUGUUUAUUUGUUUGUUUGUGUACAAUUUUUAAAGAAAAUUUAAAAUAAUAUUAAAAAUUAUUUUUUCAAGCAACGCUGCGCAUCCCCUUGCAUAUAAUUUUCGAAGUAAAUCCCUUCUAAAAAUUGAAAGGGUAAUCAAAUGCUCUUUCAAUUGUCAGAAGUCUUCACUUCGAAAAUUAUAUAGAAGUCUUUCACUUCGAAAAUUAUAUAUAAUCUUCGAAGUGAAAGACUUCUGACAAUUGAAAGGGCAAUCAUUUGAUUACCCUUUCAAUUUUUAGAAUGAAUUUACUUUGAAAAUUAUAUGCAAAGGUACGCACAGUGUUGUUCGAUAAAAGAAUUUAAAAUGUAGAUAUAUAGUAGUAAUAGUAUCGGGUACAAACAAAAAUUUAAUUAAAUUGGUGGAAAGAAAAAAAAAAUUUUGCUUUUUUUUUUUUUAACUAAAAGAGAUAGAAAAAAAAUAAAAAUGAAAUCUUUAUUUUUUUUAUUUUUAUUUUUAAAAUAUAUAAAAUAUAAACCUCCUCCUUUAUCCGGGCUUGGGAUUAGCUACUUAAAUUUUCAGUAGGCGGAGUUAAAAAUUGUACACAAAUAAUUUUUUGUAGCGUGUACAAUUUUAAAAAAAAAAUUAAAAGUAACGAUAAGAAAAGAAAAGUUUCAUCAAUAUAAUUAAAUCAAAUAUCAUUUACUUGACGACAUGCAAUUUCGGUAUAUUUAUCUUGUAGUCGAAAAUGAGCAUCCUGCCAAUCCUUAAUGCACAUUAACGCUUCUAAAAUAUCUUCUUUCAAUUGGCUCCUGACCUCGCUCAAAACUCUUUUACCUGCACUAAAAACAGACUCCGAAGCAACAGUGCUAACCGGAGGUGUUAGCAGAUCUUUUGCAAUCGCAGAUAUAACUAGCCAACGUCGUUUAUACUUUCGCCAAAAUUCAAUUAUUUCUUCUGAACUUUUUUUAAUUGUUUUAUCUGUUGGCAUAUUCUGGUUGAAAUAAUCAAUUAAUUCAGCAGGCAAUGUAUUAUGACUUAAGCCCGUAGAUGUUUGAUGAGAAUGAGAUACAGAUGGUGAUGGCAUAGUGGUGGUAGUAGAUGAACACAUUGCAGAUGAAUCAUAUCUAUAAGAAUUAAUACCUUGAAAUAAAAUAAAUAUUUCUGCAUCUUCUUCAAUUUCGGCGGAAGGAGUAGGUGCAGAUGGACCAAACUAAUAUUGGUAUCCAUUCGGUUCGCAUAUAAUUCAUACAUUUCACAUAAUGUUUGCUCUAAAUUUCUAUAUGUGAUAGGUGUAUCAAAUAUUAAGGCGUUUGAAAUUUGAUCAAUUAUAUAUUUAGUUCCCGAUAAAUUAUAUCGGGGGUCCAUCACGCAUACUAAAGGAAAUAACAUAGGCAAAUCUUCCCAAUAUUUUCUAAAAUUUAAUUCCAUAGCAAUUAUAAUUUCACUAAAAUCAGGAUCGUUUCUGUAUUUAUGAAAUGUUCUUGCAAUUAUAUAAAGACGUUCAAGCAUCAUACAAGUGGUGGGAUAGUAAACACCCAAUAAAAUCUUAGUGGUUUCAUAAAAAGACGUCAAAAAUAUUUUAACUUUCAAAGCUAUUUGCCAAUCACGUUCAGUCAACAUACCCUCGUCAUCACUUCUAACAUGUCUAUUGUUAUAAAAGUCAGUUAUUAAAUGUUCAAAACCUUCACACGACUUUAAUAACAAGUAAGUAGAGUUCCACCUAUAACCUACGUCGCUAACAAAUGUUUUAGCAUUUUGCACUCCUAUUUCGGCACAAUAAUCCUCAAAUGCUUGUUUCCUACUUGGGGAGAUUGUGAUAUAUAUUAGUGCGUUCCUAAUAUUUGGAAGUUCAUCAUUUAUAUGUUUUAAACCAUCUUGGAUAAUUAAAUUCAAAAUAUGACAUACACAACGAAUAUGAAACAAAUACCCACCAAAAUCAGGUUGCAGUACCCUAUGCAAUUUAUCGGCAACUACUUUAUUCGCAAAAUAAUAUUCUAUGGAAUAGAAGUUCCACAUCGUUGUGACUCUUAGACAAUAGUCCUAUCACUAGCAUUAUCGAAAGUAAAUGAACGAAUUUUACCUUCGCAAUGAUAUUCUCUAACAAUACUAAUAAUAAUUUUAAAUAUAUUAUUAGUGUUGUGAGGAAAUUCAAUAAUUCUAAAAGUAAUAAUUUUUUUAUACAUGCACCAAAGUGGGUCUAUAUAAUGUGCAGUUACAGCUAUAUAUACUCUUUUAUUAAUCCCUUCCCAUAUAUCCGAAGUUAAAGUUAUGACACCCCUAUAUUUUUGUAAAUCCAUAAUUAAUUGUUGUUUUGUUGAAGUAAAAUAUUGUAUUGUAUCGGAACGAAGAGUGUUUCGACUUACCCCAACGUACCUUGGCUGCAGAUAUUCUUUCACAUACGAGACGUAGUGUUGGUUGUCAAUUAAUACCAAAGGCAACUCAGCACUAGCAACAAGCUUCACCAUUCUAGUUCGAGCUUUCUCCUCUAAAUACACCCAUGUGGAUAGGGGUGCAGCAGAAUCACCGGCGUCUGGACUGCCAAAUUGUAAUUGUGUUUGACAAUCUGGAAUAAGUCUGUGUUUGGCUGCACAUACUUUGUAAUGACGGUUGAGAUGGGUGGUACCAAUUCCUCUUUACCAUACCAAUCUUUGUUGACAGUAUUUACAUACUGCUUUGGAUUCUGAGACUCCAUCGACAAUUUUUCCCGUUGAAAUCAACUUAAAGUGAUCACAACAUUUUGCUUGUUUUUUCCCCUUUCACUUUCCCCUCGCAUCAGGAAUGUUUAAUUCAGCCUCUUCUUCCUGAUCGUGUUCCGCUUCGGGAACGUCAACAUCAUCCAAAUUAAUUGGAUAAUUUGGAUUGCCGCUUACAUGAUGAUGAAGAUCCAAAUCUGGAAUAUCUUCAAGCAGGGAUACGUCAUUUAGACCUUCAAAUUGAUUCUGAAAUUGACUUUGCGGUGUCAUAGGCGAUUCGUUUCCUCUCACACCGAACAAGUUUUCGACAAAUGCAUGUGGAUCCAUUUGUUUAAUUGUAAUAAGUAAUAACUAGUAGAAGAAUAAUUGUAUAAAUAUAGUGAGAAAUGAAAAUUGGAUGAAAUUUCAAUAAAUAUAGUGAGAACUGAAAAAUGAGAAUUGGAUAUUGUAUAAAUUGUAUAUAAAAAUUGCACAACUAUCAACACAACACAAGAGAGUUGAGAGAAAGAUAACUGAGAGUUGAGAGUGAAUUGUAGAAAAUUUUGUGACUAAAUGCCACUAUUUAUAGAAGAAGAAAAGAAAAAAAUAAAAAAAAAAUUUAACGACCAAAACGGUUGCUGAAAAAAUUCAGUGACUGUUAACAGUAAAAAAAAUUUACUUCUGGGACCGAAACGAUCACUGAAAAAAAUCAGUGACUGUAACGAUCACUGAUAAAGUGACCGAAACGGUCACUUUUUAAAAAAAGUAACCGUUUCGGUCACAUUCGAAAACGAGCCGCUUGCGAGCUAGCCGUGAGCGGCUCGUUUUUUGUGUGAGCCCAGCGGGCUCGGCUCACCCACCAAACUGGCCUGCUCGGGCUCGUAUUUUUAUGAGCAAAACACGAGCCCGAGCCGUCCAUGAGCUCCGUUUUCAUGAGCCGCUCGACCUAUUUGCCACCCUUAUAUAGACAAAUAUAUUUCAAAUUGGAAUGCAAUCAUUACAAAAAAGAAAGUCAAGCAUCAAGUUCAAAGUAAUAUAAUUAAGUUUCAUAUCUUGUACCCAAUUAUGCAAUUCCAGGAAGCAAGAUCCGGAUUCAUCUGUGAAUAAGAUGGAGCCGACUUUUAUAAGUAAGGAUGUGAAGAAUAAUAGGUAAGGUUUUAAUUCUAACCUAAUUUCUGCUAAUUAAUCUUUAAAACCUAUUAUUUACCUCAUUUUUACUAAUUUAAAUCAUUUAAUUUAGUUUACCAAAAUUAAAAUCAUAUUAUGUAAUUCAAUUAUCAUUAUUAUUUUCUUAAACUUAAAAGAAAUGGCACGUCGAUUGUCUAGGGCUCCAGAACAAUUUCCACUGUAAAAAUUAAAAUUAGUCAUGAUAGAAUAGUUACAUAAAUUAAGCAGUAAAUGCAGUAUAAAUAUGAAAUCUGAACGACACGACAUUAAUAAAAUAAUAAUUACGUAGCGUUACAUACUUGCUUGGCUCGUGCUCGAGUUUGUGAUUUUAGGAGCCUGAGCCACUCGGCCCGUUUACCAUCCCUAGAUGAUCCAUUAACUUUCUUCGACAUCAAGAUGAUAUGUUCAUAAGCUUGUCUUAUUUAAACUCGAGCAAAGAAUAGAAAAAACAAUGCAAACGAAUAAGAAUAUUCAAUUUUCAUAGUUUGAGGUUUCAUCUGAUAAGACUUGUUGAAAAGAUUAGUUCAAUCUUUUAGACGUUAAUUAUUUUUUUAUCAAUUCAAUUAAAAUGAGAAUAUUGUUCUUUAUCAACAUGGAUCUUUAAGAUACUAAUGAGUCUAAUAAUGCAAACCAUUAGUUGUAUUCGUUUAAAGUUUGAUGAAAAGUUAAUGAAAUUUAUUGUAAUUAUAAUGUGGUGCAUGUUGACCUUCAAAUUACAAUCAACAAAUUCCUCUCAUCUAGCCCUAAUUUUUCUUCUACUAACCUCACUCUACUUUGAUGUUCAACGAGGAGUAAGAAGAGAAAUGACUAUUUUGAAUGUAAAUGUUCAAAUUUUCAUGCUUUUCUUCUAUUAGAUAGGGAUUAUAUAUAGAUUUCUUUCAGGACCUUGGAGAGUAAUUGGGUCUUUAUGGUUAAUGACAAUUGGCAUGUCUAAUAAUUGAUUCAUAACUGAUUUAUAGAUUUAUGUUUUUAUUUGCCAACUUACAUGUCCUUUGCCCUUCAACUUUAUUGCAACAACACACAGUAAUUCACCUACCAAAAUCAAUUUCCUAUUUCGCCCAACCACUGCACCAAAUUUACAACCUAAAAUCCCUUUUUCUUUGUCAACCAUACCAAGCAUGAGGAAGGAGGUAGCUAGCAGCGGAAUAAUGUUUCCUAUUUUUUAACAAAGCUUCCACCAUAGUCAGAGGCAACGUAAACUAGAGUUGCCUCCUUGUUCGACGGCAAAGGCGAAGUGGCAGUUUAUCAGUCUCGAUAGGUUGUGAGAAAAUAAACAGGCAGCAGUAGAUCUCGAAGACAUCAGCCCGUUCACAUCUCCACAGCUUCCAGCUAGUGAAAUACGUCUUUUCUCCCUUCCAAUUCCAAUAGUAAAAAUUCUAAAAACCUGUAAAAGCUUAGCUACCCGAACUCGUCAAGCUCGAAGGCCCUUUUGGUUCAAAGUCAACGGAGGACUCAUAAGAAUGCAUAAUGGAAUUUGUACUAAACGAAGAUAUUUGUUUCGGCUUGUAAGAUGGUCAUCGUCGAAGGACACCGAAAUAGAAAUUGUUUCACGAAAUACGGCUGGCAGACACUCAUUAACUUGUUCGAUUUGAACUCCGGCCACAAUUAAAACAAGCAGCAACUAAAAAAUCGAUGGAAUGCUCUCCACUUAAAAUAUAAGAAGUUCGAGGAACUGGUGAAUAACACUCGCAUUGCGUACAACAAUCGACGGGCAGAAUUUGUGCUUCUUAGGAGUGGUGACCCGAAAGAUCAAGGUACCAUCGUUUCUUUCGAACUUCGCCACAAUUGGAACAAGCAACAGCUACAAAAUUGAUGGAAUGCUCUCUGGCUGAAAUACAAGAGGUUUGAGGAAUUGCUGAACUGUACUGGCAUUGCGUAUAACCCAUCAACGGGCAGAAUUUGUGCUUCUGAGGAGUGGUGGGCUUGAAAGAUCAAGGUACUAUCAUUUCUUGACCAACCGUUCACUUGUGCAGUUAUGUAUGUUAUGUUAUGUUAUUAUACUGCGUGUUGCUUCGUUUCUUUACCACAGUAGUUGGUCAUUUUUUUUUUGAUGGAAUGCGUUUAGAUUGUUGUUUAGUCAUGUUGCUGGGUGUUGUAUGGUUAGGGGUAGGAAAUAGUUCAUUAUCUUAUCAUUAACCUUAUGCUCAUGUAUUUUCUGAAGUGCUGAGAUUUUAAUUUUUGAAUGAUUCCGACAAAGUAUGAGUUAGAUUGGAUGGAAUUAAUAAAACUUCCUAUUAUUCCAAAAAAAAUUCAUAAUUUACAUUAAAAAUCAUAUAAUUGAAAACCUUUCCAUUUUUAUUGGUGCAGGAGAACAAGACUACAAAGAAUUUAAGGAUAAAGACUGUUGAGAGAUGUCCGGCUACAAAGCUCUGUUCGAGGAUGGGUUCAACAAUGACAAGUAUGCAGUCACACAAACAAAGCUCUAUCGAACUGGCUUUGCAAUGUUGGAAGACAGUAGAUACGAAGACCACCGUGACGAGGCACCAAUCGAUGUCAAGAGCAACGGUUCAAGUGACCAGCUGAAAAGAAUAGAUGUGGCUGUAGCAAGUAUGGAUGUGUCAUGCCCGUACAUCAGAGGCAAACGUAAAGCAUACUUCAGUAAGCAACAAGCGAAGAAGAAGAAAAUUACAGCUCACGAUCUUUCCUACUAGGUUGAUCGCGUGACAACGGCCAGUGAAAAUGUUACUGCCAACAAUGAAAACUUCAUUGGACCUGUUGUCUCGGACCCAAGGACAUGUAGGAAAAAUUACUGGCGACUGGUAGGCUGAAAAAGCAAACUGAUCUGUAGUUCUGGACGUGUACAUUUCUGUCCCAAAAUCACAUUAGGGAGAUAUUGGACAUGCAAGACGAUGCGAACGAAAAAUUUGAGUGGAUCGAGUGGAACUGGCGGGAGUACUAUACAAAGAAUUUAAGGACAAAGACUGUUGAGAGGUGUCUGGCUACAAGGCUCUGUUAGAGGAUGGGUUCAACAAUAACAAGUAUGUAGUCACAAAAACAAAGCCCUAUUGAACUAGUUUUACGAUGUUAGAAGACAAUGGAUACGAAGACCACCGUGAUGAGGCACCAGUCGAUGUCGAGAACAACGGUUCAAGUGACGAGUUGAAAAAAUAGAUGUGACUACAGCAAGCAUGGAUGUAUCGGGCCCGCACAGUGGAGACAAAUGUAAAGCAUACUUCAAUAAGCAAAAAUAGAAGAUUAGAAGAAGAAGAAAAUUAUAGCUCGCGAUCUUUCCUACUCAAUUGAUUGCGCGACGACGGUCAGUGCCAAAAUCGAAAACUUCAUUGUACAACGGCCAGUGAAAAUGUUACUGCCAAAAAUGAAAACUUCAUUGGACCUGUUGUCUCGAACCUAAGGACAUGCUUGAAGAAUUACUGGCAACUAGUAGACUGAAAAAAUAAAUUGAUCUGUACUUCUGGAUGUGUACCUUUCUGUCCCAAAAUCACAUUAGGGAGAUAUUGGACAUGCAAGACGAUGCGAACGAAAAAUUUAAGUAGGUCGAGUAGAACUGGUAGGAGUACCAUACAAAGAAUUUAAGGACAAGGACUGUCGAGAGGUGUCCGACUACAAGGCUCUGUUCGAGGAUGGGUUCAACAAUGACAAGUAUGCAGUCACACAAACAAAGCAUUGUCGAACUAGCUUCACGAUGUUCAAAGACAAUAACUACAAAGACCACCGUGAUGAGGCACCAGUCGUUGUCGAGAACAACGGUUCAAGUGACGAAUUGAAAAAAAAUAGAUGUGACUGCAGCAAGCAUGGAUGUGUCGGCCUCGCAUAGCGGAGACAAACAUAAAGCAUACUUCAGUAAGCAAAAAGAGAAGAUUAGAAGAAGAAGAAAAUUACAGCUCGCGAUUUUUCCUACUCAAUUGAUUGCGUGACAAUGGCCAGUGCCAAAAUCGACAACUUCAUUGUACCUACUGUCUCGAACCCAAGGACAUGUAUGAAGAGUUACUGGCGACUAAUAGACUGAAAAAACAAAUUGAUCUGUACUUCUGGACAUGCACCUUUUUGUCCCAAAAGCGCAUUAGGGAGAUAUUGAACAUGCAUGACGAUGCGAACAAAGAAUUUGAGGGGUCAAUUGGAAUUGACAGGAGUACCGAAGAACACAGCCAUACUGAGAGUUGAGUGUGACCUUCGAUAUGGAGGUACAUGGACUCCAAUUCACGAGAAAACAUUUGUUGGAAUUUCAUUAUGUUUUAAUUUAGUAUGUAUGAUGGAAUAGUGCAUGCCAUGUAUAUGGCAAUGCUAAACAUUUUGGUUCGUAUAUGUUGUCACCAUACUUGGAAUUUUCAACUUUGAUUUGCAAAGAUUUUCACCAUGCUUACCUACAAAAAAAUGCAGUUGGAUGUUUGUUAAUCUUUUCAAAUAAGUACUCCAUUGGACAAGUACACUUCACAUCACUCACCUAUUGAACUUUAAUUUUUUUGGUUUACUUGUAGCACUCAUCAUUUCAUUGGCAUACAAUUAUUAGUGACCUUAGUCUAUAAAAGGCAACGCAUAUCUGCACAUUUUUACAUACCCCCAAAGGCAUGGUUGGAUACAACCUACAUUGUUUCUUUUACAGAUUUUGAUAUCUUAUGUCAUAGUAGUGGUAUGGCACAUUUUGAUAUCAAUUGUGUCUUGCUGCCAGCCUCCGAUGGCGAGGACGAACCUGGUGAGGAGGCAUUUAUGGAAGAGCUAUAGGCGGAUAUCAUCGAAUGGUUCCGAUACUGUCGUAUCAACCAAAUUGUUAUAAGUAACUACUACUACGAACAAAGAUGUCAUAUUUUUCGAUUUCUAUUCGCACGGAACAGUUAUAUGUUCAUGUUAGAUGCUAUGAAAUGCAGUAUGCAAUAGUAUUUUUAUGCAGAGUUCCGUGUUUAUCCUUCAAUACUGCGAACAUUCACUCACAUCCUUGGCGACAAAUAUUAAUUGUGCAGUUCGCAAGCGAUAGACUUGUAUGAUAUAUGUUUCUAAGCAUUUUAUUGCAUGGAAAAGGCAGCCGAUAGGUUCAAAUGCUUUUCAAUCAUUAAUUGGAAACCAUCAUACACUACUUCAAACUUGUGCUUGGAGUGGUCCUCGAGUUGUCCAAAAACAUAAUUCGACCAUAUUCAAACUACAAUCACUGUGUUGAGCAUCAUGUCCCCAAUCGGAACAAGCAUUCGCUAUUCGAUGAUUGCAUAGGUACAAUCAACAGCACUCACGUCAGAGCCAUCCUCCCGCAAGACUAGCAAGUGAAUUUUAUAGAACGCAAAGGAAUAUCUAUAUGGAAUGUACUAGCGGCAUGUGAUUUUAACUUGUAUCUCACAUUUGUGCUGGCUGGGACAACGAGGAAUACUCAUGAUGCUAGAAUCUUGGCUUGGGCCAUACAUAGCCCUAACAUUCACUUUUCGCAACUAGCACCUAGAAAAUAUUAUCUGAUAGAUUUAGGGUUCGUCUAUCGACUAGGUACAUGGCUCCAUAUAAGGGUUCCGAUAUACUAUACCAUUUUCAACAAUUUUAUGAUAGGGGACAUGUAGAAUGCGUUACGUUCGAAAUGUGCACGAGAAGUUUAAUUUCAAGCACUUUUUGUGCAGAAACGUAAUCGAAUGUGCAUCCGAAGUGUGGAAGAGUUAUUGGAAAUACUCGAUCGUAUGACGAGUUGUAAUUUCAAAGUGUAAACAGCUUGUAACGCCCGAAGUCUAUUUUUUUAAAAUAAAAAUAACUUGAAGUGUUACAAAAAAAUAAAAAUAAAAAAUCAUCUUUUCUAAUUUAAGCGAAAAUUCCCUUUAAUUUAAAAUUUGAAAUUUGGUUGAUAAGUCGAUAAUGAUAAACUAACAAUUUAAGUGAAACUUUUCAUAUUAAAUAAAACUUUAAAGUACUACGAUUUCAAACCAUAAAUUCAAAUUUAAUAUAAAAUGUCAAAUCUUCGAACACAAGAAAACUGCUAAAUACUGUGCACAGAAUUUAACAUAAAGAUGUUCUUCAACAGGACAAAGGAAAUUUGCAAAUUAUCAUUUUUAGAAAUUUUACUUGACGACCCCAUAAACAUUACUCAAUUAAUAUGCCACACAUCCAUACAACCCGUUUUAAUCUGAAAACUUAUUGUAAGAGUGAGUUUUUUGAAAAUGCUAAAUAACAAAUAGCGCAUAUUCUUAUUAAUAUGAUAUAAAUAUGAAAUGACAUAACAAAUUGACUUUUCUGAGAUUUAGAGCAAACGGGUCGCAAUGUCCAAUAUCUCACAGAAUUUCUUAAGAAUUCGUAUAUCACGUACGAUUUACAUAUUUAACAAAAUGGUCUAUCCCGUAGGAUUUAAUAUAGAAAUUAACCCUAAGGCCUUAUACUAUUUCAUAUCAAAUUUUAUAUAAACAUCAAGAAAAUAAAAAUUUACCACUUUGCACUAUGUAUUCUUACUUCAGUUGAUAUCAUAAAUUUUGAAAAUAUUCCUUGAGACAAUAAUUAAAAAUGGACAGAAUGUUUAUAAGAGAAUGAAAACCAACUUGUGAAAUUUUGAAUGUGGCUGAUGAAAUGAAGAAAUACUCAUUUUUAAUAAGUGUGUCAUAUAUAUAUAUAUAUAUUAGGANNNNNNNNNNNNNNNNNNNNNNNNNNNNNNNNNNNNNNNNNCUCUCAUAUAUAUAUAUAUAUAUAUAUAUAUAUAUAUAUAUAUAUUAGGCAAUAGAGAUAUAUUAGGAAAACAAUUCAUUGAUGAUUAAAUUUGACCUCUUUUCUUUUCCUUUUUUUUUUUUUUAAAGUUUUGGCAGAAUACAAUGAUUGCUACAUGAGUAAACUUUUUAUUCUUAUUAUUAUAUUGAUUUUAAAGUACAUGUACUAAUUUCCAAACAGUGUACCUUCAACCCAAUUUUAAUAUGUUAGAAAUUUUUAAAGCCAUAUUAUGGCCCUGUGUAUAUCAUAAAACAUAUUGAAAAUAAAUUCUAGUAUAUGUCAAAUAAAAGUAAAUUCAUUAUUCAAAUUAUAAGAGUUUUUUUUUUAUCCACUCUCCAUAAAGGUAGAUUUGGGCUCUGAUACUAAAUUGUAACGCCCGAAAUUCUUUUUUUUUUUAAUUAAAAAUAGACUUGAAGUGUUACAAAAAAGUCAUCUUCUUUUUCUAAUUUAAGCAAAAAUUCUUUUUUUAUUCAAAAUUUAAAAUUUAUUGAUAAGUCGAUAACGAUAAACCAAGCAUUUAAAUUUUCACAUUAAAUAAAAUCUUAAAAUACUACGAUUUCAAACCAUAAAUUCAAAUUUAAUAUAAAAUGUCAAAAUUUUCGAACACAAGAAAACUACUAAAUACUAUGCACAGAAUUUAACAUAAAAAUGUUCUUCAACAGGAUAUAAGAAAUUUGCAAAUUAUCAUAUUUAGAAAUUUUAUUUGGCGAUCACAUAAGCAUCACUCGGUCAACCUGCCACAUGUCCACACAACCCGUUCUAAUCUGAAGAGUUAUUUUAAGAGUGCAUUUUGAAAACACUCAAUAAGAAAUAUGUGUAUAUUCUUAUUAAUAUGAUAUAAAUAUAAAUUGACAUAACAUAUCGACUUUUCUUAGAUUUAGAGCAAGUUCGUCGCGAUAUCCAAUAGCUCAAUAAAUUUCUUAAGAGUUUCUAUAUCCUGUAGGAUUUAAAUAUUUGAUCAGAACAGUCAAUUUUGUAGGAUUUAACAUAGAAAUCGACCUUAAGACCUCAUAAUAUUCAUGCCAAAAUUUAGGUAAACAUUAUGAAAAUAAGAAUUUACUAUUUUGCACUAUAUAUUCUUACCUCAGUUGAUAUCACAAAUUCUGAAAAUAUUUCUUGAGACAAUAAUUAAAAUAGGCAAAAUGUUUGUAAGAGAAUGAAAAUCAACUUGUAAAAUUUUGAAUUUGGUUGAUGAAAUAAAGAAAUACUCCUUUUUAAUAAGUGUUUUUUAAUGUGCAUAGGUAAAGGGAUAGAAAAAAUCUCAAUUUUCUAAUAUUGUAAGAAAAGACAAAAAGAUAUAAAAAUUAUAAGAGAAAAUAAAGAUGAAAAUAAUAUGAUUUCCUUUUAGGGAGAAAAUUUUUUUCUUUUAAGAUUUUCUUAUCUUAAUAGAUUUUUUUUUCUUUUGGGAACUUUUUAGAAAAUUUUCUAUUUUGGCUGCGUAAUUUGAAGACUUUGUAAUUGGGAAGAAGAUUUGGCUGCGUAAUUUGAAGACUUUGUAAUUGGGAAGAAGAUUUAUCAUUUUCUCUUAAUUAGAAGACAAACUUUUUCAAAUUACUUAAAGAUUUUUUUAAAAGUUUUGUCAUUCUCCAUUAAUUAAUAGAUAGAUUUUUUCUUACUUAAAUACCUUUUCAAAAUUACACAAAGAAUUCUCCAACCCUUUUUACGUAGAAAACUUAACUAUAUCUUCUAUUCUAUCUAUAUAUAUAUAUAUCUAUAUCUAUAUACUACCUUAAAAGAGAGGAUUAGGGCUUCACUAUUCAUUCUUUCACAUGAGGUUUCACACAUAUCUCGUUCAAACUGGUUCUUCCACCGUGGCCAAAUGAAACACGUAUAACUCCUCUGCUUUAUUGUUGACAGCUAUUUCCCUAACCCCUAUUUUGUCUUCUCUCUUAAAUCUACUACAUAAAACCUGCAAAAUUUCCCCCAAAUCUCUUGCAAAAUUGGAAUCCUCAAAAAACUAGUAAGGGAAGAACGAUAAUCGACGUUCGAAUGGCUGGGAUGGCCAUCAUCAAUGCCACUGUCAUGGAGCGGUGCCACGUAUGUCAAUUGAGGCUGUGGUGGAAGUGCUGGCACAAUUAACGAUUCCAUCCAAUCCUCUGACCCUGAAUCUCUCCAAACCCACGAGAUUUGAGGUUCACACUCGUGAAAUAUUUUCGUGUUUCAUAUUUCUCAUUUUUCAACUGUUAGUAGUGAGUUUCAACUUUCACGGAGUUAAUAUUAAUUUAUAUGCUGGGUGGUUAUGGAAAUUCAGUAGCUCGACAAGGUUAGUUAUUUUCACCAUUCACUACGAUCUUGUGAGUUCUCAAUAUUCAAUUAUCAAUCGAUGCUUCAAUUUUUUGUUUGACGAAAAUACCCCAAUACAAUUCAGAUAUUUUUAGAUUCACCAAUACCAUAGUUGCAUGCACUUUUUAGUCAUUUCACUUAUCUAAUGACGGUCACAUUCUUCGACUACCAAAAAAUGGGCAUGUAACGCAAAGGUCACAAAAAAUAGUGAGUUUAAUCAACAAAAAUACUAAAAUUAAUAAACGUAAAAAAUGAAAAAUGGAAAGAAAUCGCGGAAAAAUAAAAGAUGAACACUGGAUUUUUCGCCCUAAGGCAAGAGGUUUAGAACUUCGUUCAUAAUCCCCUUAUGAGCUUCCGUCAAAACAGAAAAAAUCACUAUAUCAACGAAUCAAUGAAGCUGUCCAAAUUGCACAUCUCGUAGCACUCAGAAUAUCACUCAAGAUUAUUCAACAUAAGCCUCACUAAUUGAUACAGCCAUUCACUCAAGAAUAGAUGAAGAUAAUCUGUACAAAUCACUCAAGAUUAUACAAUUUUGGGGCUCAUAUCGAAGGAAGCUUUCUUGGACAGAUUUUUUAGAUCGAAAGAAGGAGAAUAAUCUCUUGAGAGAGAUGAAGCGGCAAACUGAGAGAGAGAGAGAGUGAAAAUUCCAGAUUCUAGCACCAUCCAGGAACCCUAACGAGGGUUAAGUAGAAGACCCUAGAAGUCUUGCAAUCCAACGAUGAGUAAUACAACACUUGGCAAGAUCAUAACCAUUGCUUCAAUUGUAUAGAAAGCAUGUUUUAAUAACACGAUUUUUGCCAACAUUAAGUAAACCAUUUAUCUCUUGGACUAACUGGCCCAGCAGCUUAGAAGAAGUAUUAAGUCAGCCCAACAUCAUUGUGCCACAUUUCUUCACAUUCUCCACCUUGGUACAAUGAUUCUAGUUUCAUCUAUAGUGAUUUCUCCAGUUUUUGACAUCAUUUGCUCUUAUUCCUGAUACACAAAUCAGCAAGAAUUAAUAUUCAACUGUUUUAAACAGUCCAAACACUUGUUUAAAGGCAGCACUUUGGUUCUAAUAUCAGCAGGAUUAAAUUGUAUAGAAAUCUUUUCAAGUUUAACAACACCUUGAGAAAUUACAUCUCUAAUAAAAUGAAAUUUCACAUCAACAUGUUUUGAUCUAUUAUGAAGCACAAGAUUUCUACUCAAAUAUAUAGCGGAUUGGCUAUCAAAAUGCAAGACAACAUCAUUUAUGAAACCAAAUUCAUUUAAAAGUCAUUUUAGCCAAAUUCCUUCUUUAAUUGCAUCAGUUGCAGCUAUAUAUUCUGUUUUCGUUGAAAAUAAAGCAACAAUCUUUUGUAAUUGUGAUUUUCAGCUUAUACAGGAAUUACAUAAAGUGUACACAUAGGCAGAAGUUGAUUUUCUGUUGUCCCUAUCACCUACAUAAUCAGAAUUUGUGUAACUCCUAAAGAUAACACCUUCAGAUUGCUUUUUAUACUCAAUUCCUAGGUCACAAGUUCCUUUUAUAUAUCUUAGAAGCCACUUCAUAGCUUCCCAAUGAACCUCACUAGGAUUGGACAUGUAUCUACUCAAUAUACUUAUUGCAAAUGCCAAAUCAGGCCUAGAACAAAUCCUUAGAUAUAUAACUGAUCCCACAGCAUUAGAAUAUGGUACUCUAGCCAUUCUUUUGAACUUUUCUUUAGUUUUGGGAGAUUGUUCAUUAGAUAAUUUGAAGUAUUUUCAAAGCAUAAGAAUUUUUAUUUAGACUCAUUAUGUCCUUUCUCUCUUUUUUUUUUAAUUUCGAUACCCAAAAUUUUUCUAACAAAACCUAAGUCCUUCAUUUCAAAUUCAGAUUUUAGUUUGUCUUUAAUUAACUCUAUUUCCUUUAUGUCAUGACUAGCCAAAAUCAUGUCGUCCAUAUAAAGUAAAAGAUAGAGUGAAUUCUCACCUCCGUUUCCUUUACAAUAAAAACAAGUAUCGAAAUUACUUCUUUUAAAACCAAGUCCAAGUGCAAAAGUGUCAAAUCUCUUAUACCAUUGUCUUGGAGUUUGUUUUAAACCAUAAAGUGACUUUUUAAGAAGGCAUACUAAGUCAGAAUUUUUAUUCACUUCAAAACCUUUUGAUUGUUCCAUAAAAAUGGUUUAUUCAAGAUCUACAUUUAAAAAUGUAGUUUUUACAUCUAAUCGAUCCAAUUCCCAAUUAAAUUGAGCUGCAAAGGCAAGUAUGACUCUUAACGAUUGUAAAUUUUACAACGAGGGAAAAUAUUUCAUUAAAGUCUAUCCCCUCCUAUUGAGCAAAACUCUUAGCCACAAGUCUUGCUUUAUAUCUAACGUCUUUCUCAUCUUUUUCACCUCUUUUGAUCUUAUAGAUCCACUUGUAAUCUAUAACUCUCUUUCCCUUAGGUCUCUUGACUAAGGUCCAAGUUUUAUUCUUCCUCAAAAAUUCCAUCUCAUCAUGCAUUGAUGCAAGCCAAUGCUUAGAGUUCUUACUACUCAUAGCAUCUUUAUAGGACUCGGGUUCAUUCUCAAUGAACCCCUAAACAGUAAGAAGGGACAUUUCAUCAUCAAACCUCACAAGUGGUCUUAUUUGUUUCCUUUCUCUAUCUUUGCAAGUUGAUAAUCAUUUAAGGGUUGAUUUACUUCAAAAUCAGAUUCAUUCAGAUCAGUUUCAUUGAUAUUUUGAACCUCAAUUUCACUAUUUCCACUCUGAUCAGGUUGUAGAUUAUUAUUAUUAACUUGCUCCACCUUAAUUUCACUUUCCCUUCUUUCAUUUUCAGUCUGACCAAAUUCAGUUGUGUUAUUUUCAGAUUUCAAACAAGGUAUAUUAGAUUCAUUAAACACCACAUUUCUACUCAAAAUGAUCUUAUAGCCUUUGGUCUCUUUUACCCAAAGUCCAUACCCCUUCACCAUAGCCCAAGAAAACACACUUUAGGGCUUUAGGUUCAAGUUUUCCUUCAGAUUGGUUUGCAAAUGCUGCACAACCAAAUAUUUUUAGAUUUCUCAAAUCUACAAAUUUUUCUGUCCAAACUUCUUCAAGUGAUUUGAAUUGUAUAGCAUUAGCAAGGCUUCUAUUUAUGAGAUAAUUAGCAGUUUUUGCAGCUUCUCCCCAAAAUAACUUGGGAAGACCAAACCUAGUAAGAUACAUCUAACUCUUUUAAGAAUAGUUCGGUUCAUUCUUUCAGCCAAGCCAUUUUGUUGUGGGGUGUGUGUCACUGUUCUGUGUCUUAGAAUAUCAUACUCUUUGCACAAUUCAUCAAAUUUAUAAUUGCAAAAUUCAAGCCCGUUAUCAGUCCUCAACACUUUAAUCUUUUUAUUUGUUUGAUUUUCAAUCAAGAUUUUCCAUAUUUUAAAAGCAUUAAAAAUAUCAGACUUAUGUUUAAGUAGAAAGAGCCAAUUUUUCCAAAAAAAUCAUCUAUGAUUAAAAGGAAAAAUCUGAAACCAGUAUAUGUGGGCAUAGAAGCUGGUCCCCAAAUAUCAGCAUGCAAGUACUCAAUAAUAGACACAGAUUUAUGCAUCCCAGUAAAAAAUGGUAGUCUAUUUUGCUUUCCUAGUAAGCAAUGAUCACAAAAACUGAGUUUCUCAAUUAUAUCUUUACCAAAGGCACCUUAUUUUUUUAAAAUUUGCAAGCCUCUGUCACUAUGUGGCCCAAUCUUUUAUGCCAUAGUUGUGACUUAUCAUUGGGGGCAGAAAUUGUUGCUGGUGUGGAGUCAAAAAAGUAUUGAGCGUGUAAAAUGUAAGGUCUAUGUCUCUUGGGGGCUUCGGCAACAAGUUGAGAGCCACUCAAGAUUUUAAUGUAUCCCUUGUUGAUCACAAUAUUAUAGUUCAGGUCAUCUAGGACACCUGAGGAUAUGAGAUUUCUUUGUAGGUUAGGAACAUACUUGAUUUUUUCUAAAGUCAAUUCAGUAUUAUCGUCAAACCUUAAGGUGAUUGUUCCCGUUCCUUUUACCUGGCAAGACAUGUGAUUACCCAUUAACACUUGGCCUCCAUUUACAUUUUCAAACGCAAUAAAUCACUCUCUUUUAGGACAAAUGUGAAAGGUGCAACUAAAGUCAAGGAUUCACUUCUGACUAGGUGUACUGUGUGUAGCAACAUAAACCUCAUCUAUGUUGUACUCAUUUUUAUAAGUCAAUGCAGCACCACCAUCAUUAUUAGACUUAUUUUUCAAAUCAUUAAGUCUCUUAUGGCAAUCUUUAAUAAAAUGACCUUUACUUAGACAAUAAAAAUAUUUUUUACCCUUAGUCUUGUUUUUCAUUUUAUCUUUAAAGUUUACCUUCUUCUUCUGUCCAGGUUUCUUAUUAAAAUUGGCCGUCUUGGAUUAGGAUUAGGUUUGGACUUAAUCAUCAAAUUUUCACCACUAACAGAUUCUCUCUUUUCAUAUUUUAACUCUAACUCUUUGUUUCUCAAUGCAUUUAUUAUCACGUCAGUAGUUAGAGUCUCCCUUCCAUAUUCAAUAGCAUUUUUAACAUCUCUAUAUUUAUCACUUAUUGAAUUUAACAAAAUCACAGCCAACUGAUCUUUUGAAAGUUUCUGAUCACAAUCGGCUAGGUCACGGGAUAAUCUGUUGAAUCUAUCAAUAUUUGCCUCAAGAUCAAGAGAUAUGUCCAAUUUGAAACCAAAAAAUUGUUUUAGAGGUUACACUUUAUUAGGCAUGGUUUUAUUCAAAUAAGUAUCUUCUAAUUUCUUCCACAACUCAGCAACAGUUCUUGUCUCACCAAUCUCUCUUAACACACUAUCAGACAAAUGCAAGAAUAGAAAACUCCGUGCAAUUUCAUCAAGUUCAGUUUUCUCCAUUUCUUCCAUAUCAUCAGGCAAUGACACAUCAAUGGCUUUUGCACAUUUUUGUUGAAGUAAAAGAGCUCGCAUUUUCUGGUGCUAGAGACUAAAAUCUCCUUUACCAUUAAAGAUUUUCAAUUCAACUUUAGUUGACAUAAUCAAAACACAAUUUGAUUUUUGACAGUGCAGGCAGAUCACAUAAGUUUUGAACAAUAUCUACAACAUUUGAUUAUUAUUAUGAGAAUUAAUCCUAGCAGUAUCUUAAAUGUCAUACACAAUAAUCAAUAUAAAGUGUACAACCAGCAAGUUGUAUGUCACAAAUUAUUCAACAGUAACACUCAGCAGUUCAUUCAAUUUCCAAAUAAGCAGUUUACUCAAAAAACAACAAAUUAUCAAUUCACAGUAAUAUAAUGACAGCAUCCUUUAUACUUUUUAUUCAUGAUACUUGCAAGAAUCAUAAAAAGAAUAUUAAACCAUUGACCUUUACUCGAGAUAGCCCUCAGAUUCCAAACAAAUCACGGUUUCUGGACUAAGGCACUAUUAAGAAGUCUUCGAUUUAUUAAUUUUUACCACAAUUGCAAGGGUCACAGGAUAUAGUCAGGUAAGGUAUACUAUAACUUGAAGAUAAAUGAAACGAACUCACCAAAAAACCCUUAUUAGGGUUUUAAGGAGCAAUCGAAAUUUACUGAACCAGUUCGAAUACUCUUCGAAUCUGUCGACACUAGUACCAAAAACCCCCGUCACGAGCUCUAAUACCACUUUAACACGAAGUUCACAAAAAAACAGCGAGUUUAAUCAACAAAAAUACCGAAACUAAUAAACGUAAAAAAUGGAAAAUGGAAAGAAAUCGCAGAAAAAUAAAAGAUGAACACAGGAUUUUUCGUCCUAAGGCAAGAGGUUCGGAACAUCAUUCCUAAUCCCUUUUUGAGCUUUCGUCAAACAGGAAGAAAUCACUAUAUCAACGAAUCAAUGAAGCUAUCCAGAUUGUACAUCUCGUAGCACUCAGAAUAUCACUCAAGAUUAUUCAACAUAAGUCUCACUAAUCGAUACAGCCAUUCACUCAAGAAUAAAUGAAGAUAAUCUAUACAAAUCACUCAAGAUUAUACAAUUUUGGGGCUCAUAUCGAAGGAAGCUUUCUUGGACAGAUUCUUUAGAUCGAAAGAAAGAGAAUCAUCUCUUGAGAGAGAUGAAGCGGCGGAAUGAGAGAGAGUGUGAAAAAUUUAGAUUCUAGCACCGUCUAGGAACCCUAAUGAGGGUUAAGUAGAAGACCUUAGAAGUCUUGCAAUCCAACGAUGAGUAAUACGAUACUUGGCAAGAUUAUAACCAUUGCUUCAAUUGUAUAGAAAGCGUGUUUUAAUAACACGAUUUUUGCCAACAUUAAGUAUACCAUUUAUCUUUUGGACUAACCUGCCCAGCAGAAGUAUUAAGUCAGCCCAACAUCAUUGUGCCACAUUUCUUCACGGGGUAACUUUUUUCAAUGUAAAUUGUCAAAGUCAGAGGAACACAAGAAGAUUGAUUAUAGAAUGAUUUUGGAGUCAGUAGAGGGGUAUUUUGGUUAAUUCAUGGUUGUUGAUGCUCUGUAAUCGGCGGCAUGUUUUCGUGGCAAUUUGGAGAAGUUUAUUUAGUGGUUGAGUGCUUAGUCUUUUUCCAAUUAUGGGGACACAAAGUAUUAUAGGUUGCAUUGUGAUUUUGUAAAUAAUUAACCGACUUCAAGUUUGUUAAGAAUAAUGUUUAUUCCUUCGUUCUUAGGAUUAAAUUAUCUUUUAAUGCAGUGAAAUUUGAAGAAUACCAGCUUUAUCUUUUCUUUUUGGGUAAAAGGACUCAAUAUGAUGUUAUUUGCUGUGAUAUAUGUGCUUGAUAGAGUGUUAUGAGAGUUCUUUUUCUAUGAAUUUGGGUCUCUUUUAACUUGUGAGUCCCAGUAGAUUUGGUUAUAUGUUAUUAGUGUAGUUUAUUUUAAAUUUUGAAGUAGUUUAAACCUUUUGUUGUUUAUAGCUUUAUAUUAAAUUUGAGGCAUUGAGGUUUUAAAUUUUACUCUUUGUGGUCCAUUGAAUAAAUAUGACAGAAUAAAUUAUUGCAUCUUGCUUAUUUGAGUUUUGAUUAAAUAAGUUCAAUGCCAUGGGGGCGUUGAAACUGUAGUGUAAUACUAAAUGCCAAAAUAUAUGACAAGUCCGUGUAGUAUGCAUGCAUUUAAGUUUAUGUUUAUUAAAGAAAAUAACCUUGGAUAAAACAUUUUGUGAUGAGAGAAAGAUGGAUGAUAUCCUCUUGAUGCUAUCUACACUGUAAAUGUUAAUGCUUCAUACUUGGAUGAGAUAGUAUGAUAUUUGAUCCAUUUUGUUUACAAGUUGGUGUGUACGUUUUGUUGUAGUUCUUCUAUUUUUUUUUAUGGUGCAGUUGGGCCAUCCCAUAUAUGAUAGAGACCAACAAAUGGAACCAGCUUAAUAUUAUUGAACUUGGAGGAAGACUUACCUUGGCACUGGUAGAAGCAUGUUUAUUUGAUGAUGGGAAUUUGAUCUUAUGGGAAUCAAAUGAUAUUGUAUUUGCAUUUAAAUUUGAAAACUUUCCAGGAUAUGAAGUAUUUUUUUAGUUGAAUAUUAAUUGUUAUACCAACGUGUGCAUAUGAAUAAGUAGGAGAAUCAAUGGUAAACAUUUUUUUGUGUGCGAUGGUUGCUUAAUAUUAUUGGGCUUUCUUGUCGGCUUUGGCCACACUUUCAGUUUUACAAAUUUUAAGCAGAUAAAUUUGUUCACAUACAUUUAAUAUUCCUUAAAAAACAUUCUAUUAAAGUAUCGUCUUUCUUGUGUGAUGAUGUAGAAGCCAACUUAUUGUUUCUAGAUUCUCCAAUUGGCGUUGGAUUUUCAUACUCAAGCAUGAGUGGUGAUUAUGAUAUUCUUGGAGAUGACUUUGCCGGUAUGUCAAACUUUAUGUUAACUCUUAAAUACACCGACACCCCCAAUCAUAAUUUGUCGAUCUAACAUAAAAGUUCAUGAAAAUUGUGCACAUAGUAGGCUUUUCAUAAGAAAUGAGCUGUCCUGUGGGACAUGUUGAAAACUAAAUUUAGAUAAAUAAAUGUACUCUCUCUCUAGCUGUUUAAACUUUUAAAUGUUCAUUUUGUAGCCGAUGAUUCCUAUGUUUUCCUACGCAAGAGGUUCCUUAAGUUUCCAUCAUACACGAUGAGGAAAUUUUAUAUUGCUAAGGAGAAUUAUAAAGGUACAUUGUGUUGUAGUUAGUUUUCUGAUUGGUGUCAAUUACUAGAAUAUUCAUGCUCAUAUAUGUAUGCUGGAUGCUUUUCGACAGGCGGAUAUGUUCCUGAGCUGGCUGAACUCAUUCAUUACGGGAACAAAGAUCCCUCUUUAUUGAUAGAUCUUAAAGGCAUUAUGGUGUAAUUCGGUUCCCAUUUAAUUCAAGGACUGAGUUUCAAGAUUAGUGCCAGGACCCUAAGAUUUUAAAUGGAGCAAAUGAUCACAGACGGACGUUCAAUGCUAACUGAUAAUUUUAUUGCAGCUGGCCAAUUGCAAAACAUGUGACAUAGAGGUACUUGACACUUAUCAGGGACAGACUGUGCUUCUUGAUGAGAGGUGGUAUGUUUGAUUGGAUUUAUGGUGACAAUUCAUUGGCUAAUGAUGCAUAAUAUUAUAACUGGUGCUUUCUUUGUUCUUGGUCUUAUUUUCACAUUCAUUACACGUUCAUUUUGUAGAUGAUAAAUUGAUUGCUAUCUUCUUUAGGCAAUGUUUAAAUAAUUAAUAUAUGCUUAUGUCUAUACAGAUUCUUGGUUGACUCAUUUUUGUUUUGAUCAAACAACCAUGACUCGAGUAGUGUCAUAAAUUUGACUCUUAAUUUACUGGAAAUGUAGAUUAUAAAAAUGUCGAUAUUCGUGCACUAAAAAGCAAAAAUGCUUAAAUGAAUUCUAUCCCUAACAAAGUGAAUGAGGCAAUCUUUUAGGAUUUCUUACUUUCCACUUUUCCAUAAGGAGGUGCCUUUGUUGGAAAUUACAUGACCAGUGAGAGUAACUGGAUAAUGAUGUACUGUAAAAUUGUUUUUAGUGAUUCUAAUGAUGUCAUAUGGCACCCACAAAAUUUUGAAGAUAUAGAUGCUAAUAGUUUAAAUGUCAUAGGAAGAAGGAUCCACCAUAAGUAGAAGUAUUGCUUUAAAACACUGGUGUCAAAUUGAAUAAAAGUUGGUUUAUUGUUUUGAACUUCAUUUGUAUUUAUUGUAUCUUUACAAUACUUCUAGCAAAAUUGUAGGAUGGCGACCUUUUGUUAUUAUUUUUUGUGUUUGUUGCUGAUUUUAGGGUAUUUGCUGAAGCGGAGCAUGGAAAACUAACUUUUCCAGAGAGAAGCACAACCAUUCUAGAGAAGAGUUGCCAGUACUUUUACUACUUUCUUCAGUAGGUUAGAUAAUUACUUUUCCCUCAGUUUCUUUUUUUAAAAUUCUUUUGUUUAAUGAGUAUAUUAAAAUUCUUUAAUUAAGCUAAACUCUAGGCCAUUUGUUGAAAUUUUCAGAAUUUAUAUUUUGAUCCUUUAUUCUUUAUCCUGGACAUUGCCUGGUGGAUCCUUUUCUUCUAAUUGUUUUUUUUUUCCCACUACUUUUGUCUAAUUUUAUUGUAUUUAUCGCAUACAUUUGUAAUUAUAAUUGUUUGAGAAAUAUAAAUAAAAGAUCAAUAUGGCAAAUGAAGUAUAUUGAUGAUAGUUUGAUUUUAGCUAUAUUUACUUGCAUCUAACGAAAUAUAUUUACGAAAUUUUUAAUUUCAUAAUGCUGUUUUAGUAAUUGGACAUUUGUACAUGGAGAUAUAAAUAAUACCUUAAGUAUUGUUGUAUCAUAAUAGUGGUAUACAUGUGGUCUACGAAUUCAAUUUUUACGAGAUAUCGGAUCUAAAAUGUGAUGAUAUUUUUAAUUUAUUUCGUGAAUUAUAACUAUAGAUUUCGGAUUUUUUUGUUGGCUGUAGGGAUGGAGGGAGUUGUAUAUAAGUAAGCACAACGAGAUAGUUGCAAAGGCAUAUUUGGUAAUGAAUAAUGUAGAAAACGCUUUAGCUUAUCAGUCAGUUAAAGUAGGGAAUUAUUUGAAACUGGUUGAAUUCAUGAAGUUGAGGCAAUUUGGAUUCAAAGAUGUACAAGUGUUCUUUGUCAAACCAAAGCUCAAUUUGGUUGGCUUGCACUGCUAAAUCAUAUAGCUUCACCUGCUGGUUAUUUGGUUGGGCUUUUCCUUUAAUGAAGUAUUCACAAAUUGCAUAACUGGGAUGAUGUCUUGAGCUUUUGGCAGUCUUUUUGACAGUGAGUUUUAUGCAUGCAGAUGGUGUACUAUGGUGUGCGUAGAUGGUUCCGUGCUGCAAAUCUUUAACUGCAUAAAGCAGCAUAGCUUGCAAGGAUUCAAUGACUUCCGACGAAAACCUACAGCAACAGCUUGGAAGAGCGUAGGCUAUUAUGCAGCAUACGCAGCUACACAUAAGCUUCGGUUACCUGGAAAAGGGUCGAGGGUCCAAUAGCUUCUGCUAGAAUUUGGCCUAUAUACAAGGUACUAAGGUUUGCCGAUCUCCCUUUCUGUCUGCAUGCAUCAAUCUUCAGGAGUAAAAUGCUUGACUAGGCCAUUAUUUAAGUGGAUUUUGUAGUGUCAGGACUUACAUUAGGACUGCAGUUAACUUCGUGCUUACAUCGGUUUUCAUUAAAAUAUGCAUUUUCACUUGCUCAUUGCAGGCAAAUGUUGUUGCAUGAUAUGCAGUAACAUUGAUUACAUAUCUUGUGUUUGAUAGUAAGAUUUUUUUUAACAAAAUUUGCUCAAAUUGGCAUGUACACUCUGCUUGAUAUUGCUGGCUUUUUUUAUUUUGGAGUUAAUUUGAAGGUAUGGAGUAUGAUGACUAAAAUUGUUAGCCCUUACUUGAAUCCAGUUCUUUAAUAUUCAUUUUUCUCAAACUUAUUUUAAGAAUAAUUUUGUAUGUACAAUCAAAAUACUUUCCUAUAUUUUCUUUUCAUUUUUACUUUACUUAUUUUUAAAUCUGUUCAUUUUCUUUUAAACCUACCUCUUUUUACACCAAAAAUUGAUUACAAAAUGCUAGAAAUUCUCCCUCCUUUACCUGGGGAUUUUUAAAAAAUCGUGGACUGCCAUUCGGUAUAGAAACAAUUUUACUCAAUCUGCUUCCUGUCAUUUGAAUCAGAACAAAUCACAAUCUAUGUUUAUCAAUCAGUGAAUAAUGGUAGAAGUUUAUUUUAUACUUCUUGAGUCUCACAAACUUGUGCUUUUGCUUUAAUUUCAGGUUUCUUGUGGUAUAUAUUUGUGAAAGUUUCAGUUUAGUAUAGGCGUGACCAUUAUGCGGUGGCUGAGUCUGUCAAUUGAUGUUUUUCGUUUUGUUAUCUCCUUUAAUUUGUACUGCAAGGGUAUUCUAUAACUUAUCCUUUCAUGUGUUGAAUUCAACCUAAUUGUUUUUUCCAUUAUCUUCUUUAUCUCUGGCUAUCGAUGGGAUCCAAUCACCUUUCUUUCAAGUGUUUUAUCUCAAAUUUAGAUAGAAUUAAUCUAUUUGUACCAAAUAUCUUACCGAAUUGACACGUGGCGCCCCUAUUGGAGGGGCGCAUAUCCAUCCAAUAAGAACGCGACACUUAUCAAUUCGGUCAUUCAUUUGGUAAAUGAUUUGGUACCUAUAGCAUCUCCCAGUUAGAUAAGUGAUAGAACUGCUAGUUUAAACAAUUGUUUCGUUCAUCUCUGUAACACUACUUUUCUUUAAUCCCACAGAUCAUAUUUUAGAGGAUUUUGGCCUUCAGAAACAGAUCCAACUAAUACAAACAAAAUUCUCGGGGAUCACUUUGUCCAUCAUUCUAAAUGAAAAAUAACUUGUAUCAAAAUUCCAACAUGAACAUGGAAAACUUCUAACUGAAAUUUAAAACAAGACAAUCAAAGCAAAAGAAAACCGAUUAGAUCCUACUUCAAUUCGACAAAUCUUCAAUGCACACGUCUUUGUUAAUUUUUCAUAUUCGACAUAUAAACAUUACCUUCAAAAUAACUUGAAGAAAAAUCUUCCAAGACUAGUUUAACAUAAGACAAUCAAAGCAAAAGAAAAUUGAUUAGAUCUUACUACAAUUCGACAAAUCUUCAACGCACGCGUCUUUCUUAAUUUUUCACAUUAGACAAAUCUUCAAAGACUAGUUUAUAAAUAAAAUAAGACUUUUAGCCAUGGAUUUUUCUUCUACUUGUAUGCUACUAAUUCAAUUAUCAAUUCCAAACGUCAAACUUUAGGUUUGACAAGUAAAUAGAUUAAUUUAUUCCAAUCAAUCAUAGUCGAGGUUGCGUGUGGAAUUUAAAAAGCAAAUAAAAUAAAUUUAUUAUAUAUAUUAAUGAAUUAUUUAUGUUCUCAAUUUUCAAGAGAGGUUGCGUGUGGAAUUUAAAAAGCAAAUAAAAUAAAUUUAUUAUAUAUAUUAAUGAAUUAUUUUUGUUUUCAAGUUCCAAGAAAAACAUGGGAUACGAUAUCGCCCCCUGUUUGGUAUCCAUUUUCACCCCCAUUUCAGAAAAAUUUUGCCCGUUGAACAUGAAUGUGGGCUCACAGCCUUUUUUUUUUAUUUUUUACUCAAUAGGAUGGAAAUUUUUUGAAAUGCCCCCUCCUUAACUUUGAAGUAAAUGCAAAAAAGUGUAAAAUUGUAAUUUCAUUUCUGGUGCACAUUAAAUGCACCUGCAAACUUGUUGUGUAACAGUCCAAUUUCUUCUACAAAUGAAAAUAAGUCAUUUAUCAUUUUAUAUAUAUAAUUCUUUUAAUAAAAUAUAGAAUUUAGAACACUUUUCUUUCUAUUCAAAAUAAUUCAGAUAACUAAUCUAAAAUUAUUUCUUCUUGAGUCAAUUUUUUGUUAUUUAAUCUGAUUUACAAAAUGAGUAUAAUAUUGAUAUAUUUUUAUAAUUUUUUAUUUUGGUGAUACUUAAAUAUCCCACCCAAAUACAAUGUACGGUGAAUUUUAAAAAAUACACAUAAGAAUAUAAGCUUAUCACCUUAACCUUUUGGACUUUAGUUAGUGUGAUGAUAAGGCUAAACAUGAAUUAUUCCACUUGUUAAAUGAUCAAUAUUAAUUUUAGACACAUACGAAAAUAAUAAUUAAAAUUUGAUUGUUACACAUUUGUUGCAAUAGCUAUUAUGGGAAUUCAUAAGUUCCUUCGGGCGUGGUUGGCGAAACAUUUACAAGAGCAGAGACAGACUCCGAUACACAGCAGAGGUGGAGUUACUCGAUGUACAGGAUGAAAUUGAAGGGAAAAUACAUGCAUAAGAAAUCCUACGAAAUGAGUGGGAUUGAUUAAGAGAUUAUUUGACACAACAACAAUGAAAUAUGGUUGUUGAUGUUUGAAUAUUUUCAUUAGUUACCGAUAUUUAAAAAAAAAAAAGGUUGAACCCCAACCUUAAGGGUCCCCCACCGCCCCUGCCCUGGAGUAUCGUGAGGGAGGUAAAUCGCAGGUUAUGCCUCCAAGGGUAUAGGGUGGAAGGCUGCUUGUACACUUGCACUUACCUAACCGAUAUUUUUAUGGGUAAUGCUUGGGGUACAGGGGUGGUUCACAGGUCCUCUACAAGGAUUCAAAAAAUUAAAAAAAAAAAAGAUAAAAAGAAAAAAAACUACCGACACAGAGAACAAAAGGAGGGAGAAUUCUUCGCCCGCGCCUCAUUCCCCCCUCCCCUAAAUCGUUUUCUCCAUCUCUCCCACAAGCCCCAUUUUCGGUCGACGCUCAGCCACAUCCCCACCGCCGGACUCAAACUGAACACCGGAGAGCUGGACUGAAGCCGGCGCACCCUUUACCCUCGAUUUCAGCUCUCCGAAACCCCUCUCACGCAGUCGACGACUUCCUACCUCCGGUCACAGUCCAGCGACCUGUACCCCAAGCAUUUUCCCUCGAGAAAUGGGCUUCCUUUCGGCUUACCUGCGGUCUUCAAUACACUGUGGUUCCGGCAUUAUCCUGCGGCUCCAGCAAUCGUUUUCAUUGCAAAUUUUUGGAGAUUAGAAGCACGCCAUUAUACGUAAGCUGCUGCAACAUUCUUGUUCUUGUUAGAUCGCAUUUGUUCUGUAUGUCCGAUUGAUUCUGGAUUGGAAGCACGCCAUUGUUCCUGCAUUGUACUCGCACUUGUUUUCAAUUUACUGUCUUCAGUUGAUUUUGCAAUUAACCGUUAAUGCAUCAACAUGCCUUUGACUGGACUCUUCACUUGAAUUUGCAUUACAAAUUUUCGACAUUAUAUUGUGUGUUCUAUGCUUGAGUUGAUUUUCUAAUUAACCGUUAGUUAUAUAGGUUUCAUACUUUUAAACCAUGUUAACCAUGUUUAGAAUGAUGACUAAAAUCUAUCGUGGAUGCCAUUUAGACCCUGUUAAAUAAAUAUUGAUGUGUAUAAUAGUAUUCUAGUAAAUUAGGUUGUUAAAUGUGUCGUUGAUCAAUGGAUGGAUGGUUGGGAUCUAAAGAGUUCAUGUAUCGUUUGUAGUAAAUGAAUUGGUGUUUUGUUUGAUUUUGACGUGCAACAAAUUCAUUGUUGGCAACGACUUGAUUUAAGUGGUGUAAUGUUAGCUUUUACUAUGGUUGUAUCGUCUUGCUAGUCUUUAGUAGAUAUGAUUUUUGACGUGCAACCUUAUAGUCAUUGACAACUUAUUCGUAAAUAGUUUGCCAGAUUAUUCGUAAAUAGUUUACCAACUUAUUCUUUUGUUGACAAUUUGGCUUUGAACAAUUUGGGGUUCAUGGUUUGUACAACUAAUUUAUGUGCUUGUGUUUCCAUCUAAGGAUAUGAAAGGAAGGAAUGCUAAAAUUUGUCAUAGUUGUAGAAGCAAUGGCCAUUUUUUUGAUGAAUGCCCUAGAAAACGUCGUUGCCCAAGGUGUGCACAUGGAUUUCAGAAAUGUUUUGAGGUUGAAAAGUAGAUGUGUAACAAAGGGCGAUUAUUCAACACAUGCAGCAAGAAAUGUGGAUUUUUCGAAUGGGUCGAACAAGGAGAGUCAAGUGGAGAAUCAAGUACCAUUGAUGAAGCGGUCAAUGUUGCGGCAAAUGAGGAAGUCGAAGAGUUGCCAAGAAUGGUCGAAACUCUAACUCGAAUAUUCUACGAACGAGAUGUAGAGAUUAACUUGAACAUUACUUUCCGCAAGGAAAACGGAAGUUCGGAAGGAAAUGGGAAAACAAAGGAGGCCGCUUGAUUAGUUUUAUUGUGUUGAACUUGUUACUCGAAUUAUGUUUGUACUAGAUCUUAUGAAGGAUGUAACAACGUAUGUUCUAUCUUAGUAUGGGUGUAAUGCAAUUUAGUUUUAUGUGUAUUCGUUACCUAUAGCCAAAAUUUAUUGUCUCAUCACCUAUGUUACUUGCUAUCUUACUAAAAAUGUCGUUCCGACAAGCAUCCCGGCAAACAUUGCAAAAGUUCUGCUUUGAUUUUUCAAAAUCUGCACUUGCUUUACAUAACGAAUGGAAACUAUGAACUAAUGUUCUUUAUUACGCCCUUUAUCUUUAUUCAUAAAUGAUGAGUAAGUAUAAGUGCAUGGUCAUUAACUUCAUCUACAUUUAUCAAAAAAUUGGUUGGCAUUACACACAUCUUUGUUUCUGUGUCACAUUCAUAAUGCAACAGUUACAAUAGAUGAUAGUUUUUUUUGGCUUUUUCCCUUCAUUGCAGAACAUAAAAGAUAUUAAUACAAUAUCACUAAACUAUAAAUUAAUCUGAACAAAAUAAUACUUAAACAAUAUCACUAAGCAAAAAAAGAGUAAGGGGCAAAAACUCUUGAUCAAGCGAUGAAUGGUUUAACAGAUGGGGGGCUUGUAGUGACACUCCAAAAUCUCUGUUAGAUCGCCUUGUUUCAACAUCCACCACCACCCAAAGCAAAAGAAGCUGCCCAUCUUCUAUCGUUUUAAGUAACGAGGUUUUCUCGUUGUGCUGUCCACCCUUCAAAAGCCCGAGCAAGAGCAAGGUGGUCACUAUAAUCACAUGAAAAUGGAGCUGUUACAAUAUUGAUUUUAUUAAAUAAAUCAAAAGGAAGCAGAUUGGACAAGAAACACAAACAAAUUGACAGCCAUGUUUGAUAGCUUGAUCUUUGGUCAAUAUAGCUAAGAUAAUGACUUACACUGAUCAUGAUAAUAAAGUUCAGUAAUUUGUUGUGUAGUUACCCAUCCAAGUAAUGGUUACUUCAUUAUUCAAAACAAUAUCAAGUCCCCUUUCAACUUUUAGAUUAAAGAAAGCAUAGCACUUCCCCCUUAAACCAGCCAAAAAAGAAUAAAGUGUAACUAAAUUCAAAGGCGAAAAUCAUAUAUACCAAAGAACUUUUUAUUGAAUGCAAAAGCUUCUUUCUGUUAUUGCAAAAAAGACGUCUACUAUAGAAUUCCAUCCAAAAGCUUCUUUUUCCAACUUCAUUUUUAUUGUACACAUCCCAAAAAUAGAGGCAAUUGACGAUCUUCAAGCUAUGCGCUAAAAACCAAUGUGUAUCAUGAAGUUAUUACGAGGGCAAUGCUAGUUUAACUGAACCUGCCGCAACGGCACAAGUUAAAAUCCUUGUUGGUAAAACAUAAUAAAGCAUGUAAGAAGUCUAAUGCGUAUGGCAUCUUAAGAUUAUCUCAGAAGUUUCAUUGCUCAUAUGCUGUGAUAAAAAAAUUAGAUUCACUUGCAAGCUAAGUUAAGAGGAUCAACUCAGGUACUGAUCAUUAACCUAUUCUCAUAUAUAAAAUUUUAUAUUCUGAAUUCCAAAAAUUGGUCUUAGGAAAUGGUUAUCACACAUUUAUCGAAUCAAAUCUCGAUAUACACAGUGGCGAAUUCAAUCAUUUAGGCUAGAAUCCGCACAAUCAGUUAAGGAAGAAAAGUACCUUUUGUUUAACUUCUUAGAACCAAAGGGACAGAGUGCAUUUCUACUCAUUUUUCCACUCUUGAUUGUGCAACAUCCAUGGGGGAAAUUUCAAGACAUGAGAACAUAAGAACCAAGAUCAGUGUCACAUGUCAGGUGCAAGAACUUCGCACAAACAAAUCUUUUUUUCUAGAACUUCAUAAAGUCUUUGACCUCACAAUUUAAAUGAAAUAUCAAACCAUUAUCUUUUGACCUCGCUAUUGGUAUCAUGCACCAGCAGAAGCUUCUUUAGCUAUUCAUUAGAUGAUUUCAAACCUCAGGGUAAUGAACAUCAAAGUCAUAGCAACUCCGAGAACAUGAUACCAAUAGUUCACGUGUAAAGAUGGAACUUCUUUCUAUUUGAGUGUUUACCAAUUUCAUUUAACUAGUAGCACUGCAUUUAUCAAAUGUCAACUCUGCCCGAGCCUUGUUUUGAAAGAAUCCAGCAAUUUUUUUACAAUUGAAGAAACAGAUUUCUUUCACAAUUGUCAAAUUUCAACUCUGCCUGAGCCUUGUUCUGAAACUAUGAAUGUUGAUUAACAUCGAGCCAACUCUCAAACUUACUACUUAUUGAAGACAAUCAUAUGUAAUAAUCGACCAUAGAACAAUUGAAAAUGGCUGAUACAAAGGAAAAGAAUCAAAGUGUACCUCCUACCUUAGCUUGCCCUUUGGUUCAUCGCAAUUUCAGUUACAGUAUCAAAACGAGGGUUGAUGUCAAAAAUAGAAAUGAAGACAAAAUGACUGCAGCACCUGAGAACAACUAAAGUUAACCAUAGCACAAAAAAAGUAGAAAAUAUAAUUUAUUAAUGUCCUGUACAAAUGAAUAUCGAUACGAAGAACCUGAAACCUUCGUCGAAGACCAUGACAACCAAAAACAAAAAGUUCCAUGUUAAUAACUGAACUUCAGCCGACCACAUUAUGACUUCGGGUCAUCCACAUGCGAUAAAUGCGGAUAGUAACUUGGAAACGAAAAACCUAUCGCAAUGUGGACAGUAUUGACAUAAGCAAUCGAACACAAUACAAAUGUGUUUAACGCAAUAAGGAUUACAAUUCAAGUACUCACCUUGAGCAUUGAAUUGAACUUGCAUUGACAAUGGCGGGAUCAAAUUCGAUGACGACACGUCUUGUGCAAAUACUUGACUUUGGGCGUCGCCCUGUACCACACAAAAACGUCAAUCAAAGUGCAACCUGACUAUUAUAAGAAAGACAAAGCACUGACCAAUAAGAGUUCUGAAUAUAAGAAAGGUGUCUGCAUAUUGUUCUUCAGAUGCCACGACAUCCGAUAGUGCCUGUUGUGUAUUACUUUGUCUAGCUCUCGAUCUCCUUCCUUUGCAUGACAUCGAAGUUGCCUGCAUUUAAACCGAACUCACAUGAGAAACUAUAUUUCUAUUGUACUACAAAUGACAUACUAACAAACUGUAGUACCCCUGCUUUCUUUGAUGUGGACUCCAAUGGACUUUUUCUUCGAAGUUUUCGUGGAGCGCCCUUUCGCUUUGUUAAAUUUGGAUCCCGUAUGCUGUGGCUACCGGUACUUUGUGAAUCAGUACAUUGCGCAGCUAAAUGAAGAGUAUGCUGCGAAAUGAUACUAUUUCCAGUACACAUCUUCGUUGGCCUGAGCUCUAUCACUUCGAAUUUUAUCCAGUCCAUUACAGCACGUGUCCGGACUUCGUCAUCUGCAGCGAGGUCGGCUACUUGUGAAAAAGCUUUAGACAUCUCGUCAUAUCUCAACUGUCCCGGAGUACUGGCCAAACCAUCGUAAUUCACUACAAUCCUCGUAUGUGGUCUACGGACAUCUCUUCUCCACCUUCGUAGUGUGUACUUAUCUGGCAAUCGUGUAAUGUCGUUUCGGAUCAAUACUGUAAUUGCAUGUUUGUAAAUAAUCCUCCUGAACUCGAAUAAGUGGCAACUGCAAUUUAUCUCACAACGCUCCAUAUCAAAUAAGACGAUAAAUGUUUUUUCUUUCGUUGCCCGUGAUACAUCACAUCCUCACGCACCUCAUAUGCUGUCCCCGAACACCCCUCAGAAGUAGAAAUGAGGUCACAGUGAACAUUUUCCUUGAACUUAUCUUGUACUUCUCUGAAUUUCGAAAUGGUAUAAACUGACUGGAAAUGCUUCUCAAUUUCGUAAUUAGUUGCGCAAGGCACCAUUUGUGAAUAUGACCUGAAAUCAGCCUAGAACUCCUUCUCCGCCUUACUCCUCAGGGCUCUUUCGUACUACUCUACAAAUUGUUUAACGAGGUCUUCGAAUGCACAUACCCAUCGAAGAAUGCAUUCAUACUCCCACUUCGUUGAGUUGUGGACAUCCCAGCCCAGAAUGUGGUUCUUAAGAAGCAAGGAACCCACCGACCUCUAUUAUCAUACAAUCCUGACAACCAUUCAUUCUCAUGUAAGUCGUAAGCAUCAAUCAUCUGUUCCCACCCCUCUUCGAAUUCUUCAGCAGUUUGUGAAUCGUAAACCAAAUUAUGCAAAGUCGAAAAUAUCCCGCACUUAUCAACAUGAUACCCAAACUUUUCCAGCAACUUCUUCAAAAUGUGCCAUAGACACCAUCUAUGUCUCGUGCAUGGGAAAACGAUCCCAAUUGCGUUUUGCAUGGCCCGAUCUUGAUCAGUAAUUAUUGCAUUCGGAGCUUGUCCAUGCAUGCACUCAAGCCACGUCCUGAAUAGCCAGACAAAUGUAUCCGUGUCCUCAUUAGCUAACAAACCACAAGCAAACAAUAUUGACUGCCCAUGAUGAUUCACUCCAACAAAAGGGGCAAACGGCAUGUCAUACUUGUUCGUUAGGUAAGUGGUAUCGAAUGUCACAACAUCGCCAAACUCUUUGUACGCUUGCCUACACCUAUCAUCUGCCCAGAAGACAUUCUUUAGUCGACACUCGUCGUCUAGAUCAAUGCUGAAGUAAAAUUCCGAGCACUUUGCUUGCAUUUUCGAAAAGUAGGACUGUAUUGCAGCUGCGUCUCCCUCUCCAAGUCUUAAACAUCUAACUUGUUCGAUAUAGUUUUUGCAAUUCUUCUCUAUACAUGUCAUGUUCUCAUAUCCACCUACUUCCGCAACUGCGGAGUUGUAACUUUUAUGUAACGGAAUGCCUGCAACAUCAUUCACUUCAAGUUUACGUUUCACAUUUGCACUCAACUCCCUAUUGCAUCGAUACAACCUAGAUUUAGAAGGACUAGUCUCAUGGUUGUGAUCAAGGUGGACUGUAUUAAUUCUCCAUCUUCCACAACAAUCUGAAAAGGCUCAGAUCCUUGCUUUACAGUCAGUUUGGCAUAUCGGUUUAGGCUUUAAAGACCCACUCGCAUUACUACUUCUUUUGCCUUCACGACUGCAUGUGAAAGUUACAUAUCUCAGAAUGCCAUCAUUCCCUUUUUUUGAGUUCCGUCUCCUAACAGGAAAACCUAUAUCAUAAGCAUAUCUCUUGUACAUUUCAAACAUUUCUGUUUCGUUGUUGAACAUCAUUCCUACCUCGGGUACAAUCUGACCAUUUUCUCCUAACCUUUCAUCCUCAACCUUGUUCAUAUUAUCCGCACCAUUAUCAUUGGAGGACUCCUCCAAUUCAUCAUUCACAUCUUCCAUAAUCUUUCCACUGCAGCAAAACAAGGGGUACCGUUCAUCAAAAUAUAAACCAUUUACAUUGCAUCAUGCAUUAUCUUAGCAAAAUCACGUAAUGUGGUGGUAAAAUUACGAAUUUGGGGAGUUCAACAAGAGGAUAUACCACCAUGCAGUAGUUUAAGAAUCUAAAAUCACAUAUUGUGGUGCUACAGUCACAAAUUUUAGGAGUUCAAGAAAGGGAAAUACUCAUGCAGUAACAUUUUGCUUUGCGUUUCGAAUAGACAGUGUCAUGAUUAAUUCUUUUGAAUUGGAAAUGCAUUUGAAUGAAACCUUCUUAUUAGUUCUUCUAAUAAAUUGGUUGCAAUAAAAUGAAAUCAAGUGAAGAGUCCAGUCAAAGGCAUGUUGAUGCAUUAACGGUUAAUUGGAAAAUCAACUGAAGACAGUAAAUUGAAAACAAGUGCUAGUACAAUGCAGGAACAAUGGCGUGCUUCCAAUCCAGAAUCAAUCGGACAUACAGAACAAAUGUGAUCUAACAAGAACAAGAAUGUUGCAGUAGCUUACGUAUAAUGGCGUGCUUCUAAUCUCCAAAAAUCUGCAAUGAAAAUGGUUGCUGGAGCCGCAGGAUAAUGCCCGAACCACAGCGUACUGAAGACCGCAGUUAAGCCGAAAGGAAGCCCAUUUCUCGAGGGAAAAUGCUUGGGGUACAGGUCGCUGGACUGUGACCGGAGGUGGGAAGUCGUCGACUGCGUGAGAGGGGUUUCGGAGAGCUGAAAUCGGGGGUACAUGGUGCGCCGGCUUCAAUCCAGCUCUCCGGUGUUUAGUUUGAGUCCGACGGUGGGGAUGUGGCUGAGCGUCGACCAAAAAUGGGGCUUGUGGGAGAGAUGGAGAAAACGAUUUAGGGGGGGGGGAUGAGGCGCGGGCGAAGAAUUCUCCCUCCUUUUGUUCUCUGGGAACCAGGCGCGGGCGAAGAAUUCUCCCUCCUUUUGUUCUUUGUGUCGGUCAUUUUUUUUUCUUUUUUUUUUUAAAUUUUUUGAAUCCGGACCUGUGAACCACCCCUGUACCCCCAAGCAUUUUCCUAAAAAAAGACCAAGAGUCAGAUAACCCCGGACAAUACGAAUUGCCCCAUUUCACCCCACCUUUCACCAAACCCAUUUCUCCACAAGAAACGCCAGAAGAUGCUCGUAACUGGUCCCGCCGAACGGAGAGAAAGAAACCCACCAAGAUUACGCCGCCGACUAUGCUUUCCAUCUCCGGCAAUUUCGCUCAAUUGAACCGUGAAUCAGCCCAAGCUUUUCAGCCCUGCGUUUAUUUGGUUAUUGGUCUUUAAACUUCCCUCGUUUUGUGCAACUUGAUGCCGGUUCUUGCAGCCGGUAGACAAUUUGAAAGUCGAAACUUCGUCAUUUUCAUUUCUUUGUUCUACAGUUUGUUGGGUCGGAUUCAUUUUUUGGGUAUUUUCUUAUUUUAGCAUUUGAAGCAUUUGUGUGUCAUUUCCCUUGUUUCUUCACCAUCUGUGUUGGUCACUGAUUCUGAAUGGCAGAUUUGUAUUCAAAGUUUGAUCAUUGGAUGGAAUACCUCCAAUACAAAAUUGUGACUGUUCCCAUGGAUGGCAUUACCUCUACCAAACUGCAGAAGGCAGCUUUGAUAAGUCUGAAUUUUGAUACACAAAUUUAAGAGACUGUUCCUAUGGCCAUGCAUUGUGAUAUGGGUAGUAUCGUGCUCCAAAAUAUUUGACAGAAGUGCAAGGGGGUUUCUUCUUCAAUCUUCAUAUUUGGGUAAAGGUAUAAUGUAAUGUCUCUAUUUCAUAAAAUUGAGCAGAAACAAGAGGUGGUUUGAUUACGUUUGUGUGCAGCCAAAUUGACAUAUCUGGCCUCCAAAUCUUCCUGUAAAUGUGAUGAAACUUGCAAAAUUCUCAGAGGCCAUCUUGUUUGAAUUAGUCGAAGGUUUAGAUGUUCUAGUCUUCUAGAUAAUUGUCACUUGGUGACUGAGCAAACGGCGUCGUUGGGUUGCCCAAAGCUACAUGAUUGUUACUGUUGCUACUGGUUGCUGGUAACGAGUCUCCUGAAAGUGACUAUGCUUGACGGCCGUUUUCAAUCACACUUUGAUAUAUAUUGCCGCUGCUGCUAUUUGGAUUUGCUAAAAUUAUUUUGGCUUGCCAGUUCUGAUUGUUGUGCCAUAUACAAUCACUCGCCGUUAUUGAUUGCUGCUGCCUCUACCGUAUAAGUUGUCGCCUCUUUUGCUGCUUCAGAUCGGGAUGUAGUCGGGGGGAAAUGUAGAAGACGACUUCAGAUCCGGAAGUGGGUGGAUUCGGCGGGGGCAGGUGAAAAAAAUGAAGUGGGGGGAUUCUUCAGCGGGCGGGUGAAAUUGGGGGGAAAUGGGUGAAAUUGGUCUCUUUCUUUUUUUAAGUUUUUUUACAAAAUUGGUCAACGAAGAAACGAAGCCAGAACGUCAUUUUUUUAAAAUUCUGUAUGACUUCUGUACAAGAGUCUUUAGUAUUUUUUUUAAUAUUAUUUGCUGCCGGCUCAUCUGGAAAUUUCUGUACGCCUAAUCGAACUGCCCCUUGUUUUGGUGUGGAAUGUUCAAAAAUUACUUGGUCAUAACGUUAGCGCACUUUUAUAAUAAACAAAAACGACUAGAAUCGAAUGGGAAAUGCCUUUAGCCGAUGAAAAAUAGAAAAAAUCCUUCUGAAUCAAAUAUUUAAGGCUGAAGUAGCUUUUCACAUUUUCGGGUGAGUUAUCCAUUUCAUGAUAUUUUCUGCGUUGUAUUUGACACAAAACCGGAUUCUGGUUUCAAUUCUUGAAUUUUGUUGCGGGCUGAAGUAGCUUUUCACAGAUUCGGGUGAGUUGUCCAUUUCAUGAUAUUUUCUGCGUUGUAUUUCACACAAAACCGAAUUUCUGGUUUCAAUUCUUGAAUUUUGUUGCCCUUAUAUUAAUAUAUGCAGUUUGUGUUUUUAAGGUUAUCCUUUUCUAUUAUCGGAUAUUUCUGAUAGAAAAAUUUCUGCAGAUGUGAUAGUUUGUGCUUUUAUUGAUCUGAAAAUGAAGAAUGGUGUAUGGGUCUUGAAUGUUUGUUUGAUUAAUAUUUUUUAGAAGUAGUUAAGUAUCCAUAAAACAGCGCAGAAACACUAGAAGAAUCUUCUCGAUGCAGCCUUUGGAAUUGCUAUUUUAUUUUGCAAGUUUGUUAUUACUGGUAGUUUCCACGAUGGAUCUGACUAAUGUGUACACGUUAGAAUUUUCGACGAGAGAAUGAACUAAAACAGAGAAGAUUUUUCUGGGAUGUUGAUGUUCAAAAUCCUUGGAGAUUCAUUCUCUUCAAAAAAAAAAAAAAAAAACAGGAGGUAGAACCACUAAAAUUACUUUUUUCUGUUAUGUUUGCUCGCUCAAGAAAAGGCAAAUCCCUUAAAUCACACCGUAGUUCCUCGACUGUGGGUCCUCCCAUUAUUCCUACUAUAUAAAAGGAUAUUAGGGUGCCAGUUUUUGGUGUGAGAAAAAUCUUGUACCUAUUUGCAUACUCCUUUUCUCCGUUACUGGGAAAAUUUGCAGCAUCUGAGUAACAUGGUAAGAAUCUGUUUGUGUGCUUGUUUUUUUUUUUAUUUUCUUUCUGUUUAUUAUCGCCCUUUUCAGAAGGGAUUGUAGCUUAGUCCUUAACAAUUGAUUGGGCAUAAUUUUAUUGUAUGUGCUAAAGGCAAACUAAUUUUCAUAAGUUCUGCUAUAUAAUAAUGAUUCGUAAUUUGACUUGCCUGAAUCACGUUAUGUGAAUAACGAAUAGUCGAGGAAACGACAUCUUUUAUCCUAAAUAAACUUAAUUUUCAUAAGUUAUGCUAUAUAAUAAGUUCUUUAUUUCAGAGAAUUUGCUGUUGUGGAACACAAACAUGCUCAGGGUGCUAAGGUUCUGAAAUCUUGCAAAAAAAGUGAAAGUUUUGGGAUUUCAUUUAGUUGUGUAAACGUGGUUAUGGCUCCUACUGUAAAAGUGGUUCUUGGCUCAAUUGCCUUUGCCAUAUUCUGGGUUUUGGCAGUUUUCCCAGCUGUCCCAUUCAUGCCCAUUGGGAGGACAGCUGGGUCUCUCCUUGGGGCACUGCUUAUGGUCAUUUUUCGAGUCAUAACACCGGAUCAAGCAUAUGCGGCUAUCGACCUUCCAAUCCUAGGUCUUCUUUUUGGGACAAUGGUAGUCAGUGUCUAUCUAGAAAGAGCGGAUAUGUUUGUGUACUUGGGUAAAUUGCUCUCCUGGAAAAGCAAGGGAGCAAAGGACUUGCUUUGUCGAAUCUGCUUGAUUUCUGCCAUUUCCGGCGCCUUUUUCACUAAUGACACUGCUUGUGUUGUUUUGACUGAAUUUGUGCUCAAAAUUGCUCGGGAACAGAAGCUCCCUCCUCACCCAUUCCUAAUAGCCCUUGCCUCGAGUGCAAAUAUCGGGUCAUCGGCAACCCCUAUCGGCAAUCCUCAAAACUUAGUUAUAGCUGUCAAGAGUAAGAUUUCUUUUGGGAAUUUUUUAUUUGGUAUUUUCCCGGCAAUGCUUCUAGGAGUUAUUGUCAAUGCUUUGAUCCUUCUCUGUAUGUAUUGGAAGUUGUUAUCUGUUCAUAAGGAUGAAGAAGAUGCCACUAUGGAAGUGGAUGCUGAAGAAGAGAGAACUCUAAUUUCUCAUGUUGAGUUGUCUCACCUCACAUCUUCAAAUUCUCAAGAACAGAAUUCCGAACUGGAAUCUAUAAAUAUUUACAGCUCUUCUAAUCCCAAUGAUCCUACAAAUUAUAUUGAGACUACUAGAAACCGAGGGACUUUGAAUGAGAGUGAUAAUUUUCAUGUCUCUCUUAAUGUAAAUAGUUAUACGAAUCAGGUUGAGACACUCGGGAAUGGUGGCAAUCCCACUGAAAGUAAAAUUCAUAAGGUUCCGAGUUUGCAAUCUGUAUCCGUUAAGCAUUCAAAUUCUUCGAAAGAAACUGCAAAUGAUGGAUCCAUGUCUUCAAAAAGUAUUCCAUCUUUGAACGGUAGUGAACAGGAAAACGCUGCAUUACCGAAGAAGUGGAAAAGAAUUUUGUGGAAGACGUGUGUUUAUCUUGUUACCAUAGGAAUGCUAGUUGCUUUGCUGCUCGGUCUAAAUAUGUCCUGGACCACAAUUACAGCUGCACUUGCCCUAGUUCUUCUUGAUUUUAAAGAUGCAGGACCGUGUUUAGAAAAGGUAAUACCAAUUUUAUAAUCUCUGAUUAAGUUGGAUAAGAUAGUAUUGGACAAUAUUUAUAAAAAANNNNNNNNNNNNNNNNNNNNNNNNNNNNNNNNNNNNNNNNNNNNNNNNNNNNNNNNNNNNNNNNNNNNNNNNNNNNNNNNNNNNNNNNNNNNNNNNNNNNNNNNNNNNNNNNNNNNNNNNNNNNNNNNNNNNNNNNNNNNNNNNNNNNNNNNNNNNNNNNNNNNNNNNNNNNNNNNNNNNNNNNNNNNNNNNNNNNNNGGGGGGGGAUAAAAUAUUGUCUAUUAUAAAAAUAAAAAUAAAUAAUAAUUGUUCAGUACAAUCUUAACUUCAUGUCAAACUUGCUUUGGCAGUUUAUUAAUGAGAUUAGGCCUCAUAUUCAGACUAGGUUAUUGAUGCCUUUUUUCCCCUCUAAAUCAUCCAGGUAUCCUAUUCGCUCUUGAUAUUCUUUUGCGGAAUGUUUAUUACAGUACAUGGCUUCGACGAAGCCGGAAUUCCGAGAAAACUGUGGGAUUUCAUGGAGCCUUAUGCAAAGAUAGAUCAUAUCGGGGGAAUGACAGUUUUAGCUGCUGUCAUAAUCGUGCUCUCAAAUUUGGUAUCAAAUGUACCUACAGGUAUGUCAAAUGUACCUGAUUUUGAACAUGAGAUAAUAAUUUGUCGGUCAAUAAGGAGAACAAAAGGAGACAGCGGAUUGAAUUAUAUGUCCAACACUCGAACUUGAAAAUCUUCUAGGAUAGAUUACAUGUUUGGAUGAUGGAAGUGACACUGGACCAAGAGUAUUGCUAAGUAGGAAAAUAUGUUAUCCUGUUGCUACUCAGGGUCGAGGUAAAUUAACAUAACAAAAUUUCGUAUUUGGAAGCUGUAUUUAAAAGCUUCCUCUCCCCAGUUUUAAUGAUGGUGCAGCCUUCCCUAGGAUUACAAACCAUGCAAGGCAGGCAAUGCCAUUCACCCCUUCCAUAGGCUAAGAACAAUUGAUUAGAUUGGACAUACAUCACAAAGAAGGAAAUAGGAAAGGUUAACACUUCAAAGCAUAUGGCUAUCUAUCAACCUUUGCUCCCCAUGAUGUAGAUGAAGUGAGUCCACAAGGAAUUCAUAGUAGAAAGGAGCGUGAUAUAUUUGCACGAGAAUUCAAAUCGAAGUUGAUCCCAAAAUAUUUCUUAUAAUCACAUACUGCUUCAAUUGAAUCUUUUUGUAUGUCACAAAAGCCACAUUGAAAUACUAAAAUAAUUCAUUUCACGGCAUUCAUUUCUUCAAUCUUAAUGAAAUAUGAUACUAGGAAACUCGCUGAAACAAUAUAUGUACCCUGUAUAUAGUAAUGUCAAAGUGACGCUAGGCUUUGUGUUGUGGCCAGCAGGAUCUCCACAGGUCAAAUAAAUAAAUUUAAAACACUCACAAGGCCCGGCUCGUUGGGAUGGCAGUGGUCCGAGCUUGGUUCGUACUGGCCUCUCUAACCUAGUUUGGCCUAAUUGACACUACUUGUAUAAUCGAGUGAAUAUAACUGAGUUGCUUUUACUUUCAGUUCUACUGCUUGGAGCACGAGUGGCAUCUUCUGCAGCAGCAAUAUCGCCUACCAGUGAGAAGAAAGCAUGGCUCGUCUUAGCUUGGGUGAGCACAGUUGCAGGAAAUCUCUCUCUCUUGGGAUCGGCUGCCAACUUAAUAGUGUGUGAACAGGCCCGUCAGGCUCACGAUGGCUACGAUCUAAAAUUCUGGACUCACCUCAAAUUUGGAGUUCCCUCUACUAUUAUUGUAACAGCUAUUGGUUUGACUUUGAUAGGGAGAUGACACCUUGUGAUCAAUCUGAGGUUCUCUUGGAAAUUCAAUUAUGCUAUACGAGGAUAUUGAUGAGCAAGAAUAAUAUAGGAU
rnacentral:lncRNA from 1 species